AGAACUUAAUUGAUUAAGUCAUUCAAGAUUGGAGUCUCACUUUUUUUUUAGAGUAAAAAGAAAAUAAAAAGAAGGAAAAUAGAAAAGAAUGGAAAUCUAUGUUUAUUCAUGAUUGGAUGUACACAAUGAUAUCCAUCUACAAUAACCACGUAUCCCACACAUAAAAAUAAUGAAUCACCGAAGAAAAACAUUAAUAAUCAGAACUCCAAAGAGAAUACCAUACACAAAUAUUGGGAAGAAGUUAUAAUCAAGGAGAAAUUAACAACACUACAAUUAACAUAAAUAUCAAAUAUCAAAUUUUUCCAUUUCAAUAAUUAAAACCAACACCAAAAUGGAUCGCACUCCACUCUUUGUGUCGUUUGAACUCAAUCGCUCUAAGCAAAUACCAUUGCCAAGAAAGCUCCGGCCACGGCACCACCCACCAUCAUUCCCCGGCUAACGCUUGCCGCCCCAUUUCCUUCCGGUGGGGGUGGCGGUGGGCUUGGUCCAGGGCUGUUUGUUGGGACAUUCCCUUCUGGUGGUGGUGAUGGAGGAGAUGAAGUCGGAGGUGAGAUUGGACCCUCCUUUGGUGGCGCUGUUGGAGGCGAGCUAGGUGAUGAUGGUGGUGGAGAUGUAGGAGGUGAAGCUGGGGGCUGGCUAGGAGGUGAUGAUGGUGGGGUCGAAGCAGGUGGUGGGGUGGCUGGAGGAGGAGUAGCCGGUGGUGGGGUUGCUGGAGGAGGAGUAGCCGGUGGUGGGGUUGCUGGAGGAGGAGUGGCGGGAGGUGGGGAUGCUGCCGGGGGAGGAGUAGACGGGGGAGGGACGGCGGGGUGGAAGGUGGCUGAGCCGGAGCAGCACCUGGAGCUUGAGCCAUACAAGAAGUGGCAAAUAAGGCUAAAAACAUUACAAAUUGGAAACCCAUUUUCAUUCUCUCUACCAAACAAAAGAUAGAGAGAGAUGUUAAAAGAGAAAAGGGUUUGUGAAGAGAGAAAAAUUUAGAGAAAGUGUGUUUAUUGUGAAGUUGAAAUGAAUAGCAAUAGGAAAGAUAUAUAUAUAUCAUAUAUGUGAGUAUGUGUAUAAUAGAAAGGAAAGAAAAAGAAAAUAGAGAGAGUGGUGAAGUUGGGGACUUGAAAGACAGCCUUGCCUUGUCUUUCUUCACCAAUAAUGGUCGAGAUUCCCCAAAUUCCUUUUUUAAUCAUUUUGCUCUUAUAAAUCAUAAUUACACUCGAAAUUUGCACAUUAAAAAAAGAACUUCCAUCACAUUAUUUACUAUAUAUUUUUUAUUAAUCAUUUACCACUUUUUAAUUAUAAAAAGGUGCAAAGUUCCUUAGUUUUAUAUUACAUUUCUUCUGGAAUCCCAUGUGGGGAAGUGCUCAAAGUCAUAUAACGGAUACUCUAAGGGUAUUACUGUAAUUUAAAAUGCAGUUGAAAGCUCGAUAUUUGUGAUGGUAGAUCUGACAACUUAGUGUUAUUAAUUUCUUACCCUAUCAAUGGAAAUUUUUUUAUACUGCCUGCCCACUGCCCUACCAUGAAUUUGAUUUCAUUUAUUCCUUCUCGUGGUAAGCUCUUCCCAUCUCUAUAUAUCUUUUGCUUUUCUUAAAUGAAAGACAAAUAUGGUAUUUGAAACUAUAAUUUGGAGAUAAUGGUGUUUAGAAAUUAACAUUGAGAGGAAGGAUUUGAAGACUGAAGUUGUAUGCUCAUAAUUUGGGCACUAUACCUAACAUAUAAGAAGAUUAUAAUAUUCUUUACUACAUAAUGAUAGGUAUGGAAAUUAGAGAAAUGGGCUUAAAUUAUUAUAAGGGAAGGGUAAGCCAAAGUGGAAUAGGUUGGGGGUAAUUAAAAUGAAAUUAGAAAUGAUAAUAAUGAUAAUAAUAAUAAAGGUUGGUGUUGGCCUGGGUUCAGUCUGUCCCCUCACUCCUCAUGUUCCUGUUGACAAAUUCUCAACAACUCCUUGGCUUGAUUAGUGAUUUGACGGAAAUGCCCCUUAAAACACAUCAUCAAUUUUCCACAUUGGAUUCAUAUAUAUCCAGCCAAUUACAGCUACUAAAUCCAGGGUGGAUCACCAAACGAUAAUAUUAACAUAACAACGUGGACACGUGGCGAACACCCAUUUAUUUUUUCGAACCCACGUUCCGUCGGUCCCACUACGGCAUGUUCUCUCCUCUCUCUCUCUCUCAAAGUUUGUUUGUAAUUUUGAUCAAAACCCAACCCAAUUAAAGAGUUUUUUUUUUUUUUUUCUUUAAUACAUAGAACUUAGUUAUAAGAAUUUCAAAAACAAGAGUUUCAAAUAAAUUUUUUGUACAGAGGAGGUGAGUGAGUUUGAUUUGUUGAUAUUGAUUAGAAUUCUAGACACGAGGUAGUAUAAUUAGUUUAAUAUUAUUGUUUCUUUUCUUAAUUUUGAAACGUUUCAUGUUAAGUUGUUUUAAUAUAGAGUUAGUUGCAAAUUUAGCUAUUAGAUUCAGAAUAAUUAAGUAUAUAAUAACAGUUUAAAUUUUUUUGUAAAUAUAAUAAAAUUUGUCAAAUUCUAUCAAUGAUAUAAGUCUAUCACCGAUAUAUCAUGUUGCAAAUAGUGGUAUACAAAUUUAUUAGUGAUAAUUUUUCUAUAUUUGCAACUUUUUAAAAAUAUUGUUAUAUUAUUAAUUAUUAUUCUUAGAAUGAGCAUCAAUUGCAAUUUUUCUUUAAUAAAAAUAAAAAUUAAUAUUAUAAUCAUUGAAUUGUGUUCAAUCAAAUUAACUUUAAAUUAAUUAUUCGUUUUUUCUUUUUUUUUUUUUUUGUUUAGAAGUAUGAAACUCAAUUUAAUCAUUUGAAAUUAAAAAACAAAAAAUAAAAUAAAAUACAAAAUAUGUAAUUUUUAAAAAUCGUACAUUUUACAAAAUAUUUAAACCUAUAGCAAAUUUUAUCGUUGAUAGUCAUUGAUAUGCUACAUACAGUGAUAGAAUCCAAAAUUUUGCUAUAGUUUAUAAAUAUUUUAUUUUAUAUUGUUAUUUUUAAAAAUACCCAUAUGGUAACUUUUUACAUUUUAAUGUUAAAAUAAACUUAGUUGGAAUAAGUGAGCGAAAAUUGAAGUUAGAGAGGGUUGGAUUUUUAACGAGAGGACUAAAAUGUAAAGGUACACUAUGUAGUUAAAGAAUCAUGGCAUGUAGUGAGAAAGAGUUGAUGCAUCAAAAUGGAAGCAUGGAUGAUUUUAGUGACCAAAAUGUAUUUGAUAUCUUUCAAAUUAAUUUGACAAACAUAUAACAUCAGCUUAUCCAUUCAAUUGUUGAACCAAGUAGGGUCUGUUUUUCAGUACUUUGUCAAUAUCCAACCAUCUCUUGUACUUUCACUCAAACAAAGCUUUUAUGUGUAUAUAUAUAUAUAUUCAUUUAACAAAGCUUUUAUAUGAUGUUUUUCUCAACAAGAAAAAUAACUCUACAAGGUUUCCUUCAAAAUUUCAUGUUAGGUAAAGAUCAGUUGGAUAUGGAGAGUAGCAAUUAACACUUUCACCCUCCACAAACAUUCAUCCAACUAUUUGCAUAGGUUCAAUGUUAUAUUUAGGUUAAAUUAUAAAAAUUGUUCAUAGACUUUGGGGUUCUUUUAAAAAAUAUAACAAAAACCGAUAAAAUAAACGCUGUAUGGAACAAUUUUGAAAAAGGAAAAAUCUCAGAAGCUCAUAAUGUGAGAUACCAAAAAUAUACCCUAAUGAACACAUGAUUAAUUGAUCACACACGCGCCAAUAAUCUUUCUCUAAAUGAUCGUGUACUAUUGUCUAAACAAUGGUUUAGAUCAUGAUAUACGAUCAUAUGUGUAGCUCAUUUUCAACAAUGGAAAAAAAGACUUCAAGUUUAAAUGAUGGCUAGAAAGAUUAAGACAUAAAUGAUCGUCUAAUAUAAUCUUCUUCUAAUCAAUCGUGUACUACAGUCUAAACGAUGAUUUAGAUCUUCAUACAGGAUCGUGAAGUUCAUUUUAAACGAUUGGUAAAAAAAAAUCAAAUUUAAACGAUAUGAUAAUAAACUCUAAACGAUAGCGAAAAAGUUUUAGACAUAAAUGAUCGUAUAAUAUAAUCUUAUUCUAAACGAUCAUGUACUACAAUUUAAACUGUGGUUUAGACUUUGAUACAUGAUCGUGUAGUUCAUUUAAAUGAUGGGGAAAAAGGUUUCAAAUUUAAUUGAUAGGAUAAUAACUCUAAACGAUGAUAAGAAAGUAUCAAAGCAUGGUUUAGGAAACCUGAGGGUUACGAGUAUUAUGGAAUAUGUGUAAAUAUGUUUUUGGUAAAAGUUAAGUUAAGUGUGUUUAAGUUAUCCUUGCAGGAAACAACAGAAAGUAUGACGCCCAAGAAGAGGAAGAUGUGCAAGAAGCAAACCAAGAUGGAAGUUUGCAGGAACAACAAAGUCAGAACAAGCUGAAAAAAUGGAUCAAAACGUUGGAAAAAUAUUUUUGGUUCAUGUAAUGUCUAGAAGAGCGAAAGGUAAACUUGGCAGUAUUUUAACUUCAAGAAGGAGUAGAAGACUCGUGGAUCUUGGAAGAAAAUAGGCGAGUGAAAGUAUGUUGGGAGGAGUUCAAGGAAAUAUUUAACGGUAACUAUUUUUCGAAUACAUACCAAGAGAAAAGAUGAGAUGAAUUUUGCACAUGGAUUAGAAUAGAGCAAACUUACAGUUGCAAAUAUGAAAAUAAGUUUACUAUGUUGGCAUAAUAUGUGUUAGUACUAGUAGCAACUGAGAAGAAAAUGUGCAAAUGUUUUGAGCAUUGAUUAAGACCCAAAAUAAGAACACUGGUAACGGGAAUAGCUACACGAUGUGAUUAUGAAGAAAUGGUUGAUGCAACUUUAUGGGUGGAGAAAAGUUUGAAGGGAAAAAGGACAAGUUCAACCGUUAGCAAUAAGGAAGGAAAAGCAAAAUACUGGAAGAUUUAGUGUAAAACCCCAAAUUUCUAAGACUUUUAAACUUGUUAAGCCUUAAGAGAAUGAGAUGUAAAAGAAAAAGAAAAUAAGAAUUCUUGGGAACAUUAAGAAUUGGGGUUUUAGUUGGUUGGAAAUAUCUAAGUAACAAAUGGGUCCUAAGCAAGAAAGAUAAGGAUGGGUGGCCAAUUGAGAAAUAACCUCCAAAAAUAGAAGUUAUGGCGUUUAAGGAUGAUUGAUGAAGAGGUUAUCAAGGUUUGUUGGCUAUCCGUGGAGGGUUAGUCAUGUGCUAGGCGAGAUGAACUAAGAGGUUAACAAGCAAAGAAGUAGGCAGCCAAGGCUAUGCGAGGAAGGCUUGUAUACAAGGAAGCUUGCAGCCAUGAACAUUAGCCAGGCAACUGAGAGGGCUAAGCGUUUAAGAAUAGCACACAAGGAAGGCCAUGGAGUUUACUUAGGCGUUAAAGCAUGCUACGUGGCUAAUUAAGGUAAAACAGUUUAAAGUAAAUCCAAGUGGCCUAAGAAAAUUCCAUGCAUUUUGUGGCUAAGAUGGAGGUGGGUUAGAAAGCAAGAGGUGAAUUAAGGAGAUUAAGACGUGAAUUAAGGAAGCAUAAAAAAUAUUUCACCAAUAUCUUAUAGAUUUAAUUAAAUCAAAUUUAAUUUAAUUGAAUAAAAUUAUUAAUUAAUUCUCCAACUAAUUAAUAUCUAAAUGAAAUAUCUUAUACUAUAAACCCUUUAAGCUGAUCUUGAACAUUGAUCAUUAUAUGUCUCUACACAUUGCUCAAAACUCAUUAAACAGUUUAGGAUGUUAGUUUAUUGAAUUUUAGUUAUCAAGACAAAACUAAUAUUAUAAUCAAUAACAAUAAUUUUAAUAAUAACAUUUUAUUAAUAACGGUCAAUCGAUUAUAUUUACAAUUUACAAGUUUUAGGACAUAAAUUCCAACAUAUAUAAGAUCUUGAGACAUGGCUAGUGUUCUGUUCUUGUAGAUCCAAACAAUUUAGAUUUUGAGAACACAUUGCAUAACAAGCCAUUUCUUGACGUCAUAUCAUUAAUUUCUCCUUUUUGCAAGUCAAUGGAUCCUCUUAACCAUCAUCAAGUAUCAUGAUUUGGUUUUCAAUAAAAAUCAGGUAAUGUUUAGGAUGAUGAACAAUCCUCCCACUACUUUGAUGUAAUCUCAACUCUUAAGAAGGAUGUGACUAACCAGAUUCUUUAGUUUUAUCAACUACUUUAGUUGAUGAACUAGGCAUGUCUGUAGUUGUUUUAGAAAUCUCAUCUAAUACUUGUUUACUGUGUGGUUGAAGAUUCCUAAUGUGGUCUUCCUUCAAGAAUGUCACAUUUGUCAACACAGAUAUUUUAUCAUCUUGAAGAACGUAAAAGAAACCAUUUCUUGAUUCCUUUGGAUAACCUAUGAAUAGGCAUAAUUUUGAACGAUGAUCUAAUUUCUUAAGAUUUUGCACCAACACAUGUGUCAGGCAUCCCCAAUUCUAAAGUGACGUAAACUUCCUUUACGCUUAUUUCAAAGCUCAUAAGGUGUUUCAGAAACACUUUUAGAGGGAACAUUAUUCAAAAUAUAGAUAGUUGUCUUUAAAGCAUAUCCCUAAAAGGAAUCUGGCAUUUGAGUAAAGCUCAUCAUAGGGCGAACCAUGUCCAACAGGGUUCAGUUUCUUCUUUCUCAUACACCAUUCUACUGAGGUGUACUAGGUGCAGAGAGUUGUUAUUGGAUUCCAUGUUCCAAUAAAUAGUCUUGGAAUAGCAAGUUCAUGUACUCUCCUUCUCGAUCUAAUCAAAAUAUUUUUAUUGUUUUACCUAAUUCAUUCUCAACUUCAGUCUUAUAUUUUUUGAAUUUUUCAAGAGAAUCAGACUUAUGAUGCAUUAGGUAAACAUGAUCAUACCUUAAAUAAUCAUCAAUGAAACUUAUGAAAUAUUUGUACCCUCCUCGAGCUUUGACAUUCAUUGGUCCACAGAGGUUCGAAUGUUCAAGCUCUAAAGAUAUUUUAGCUCUUUAGACCUUUUCCACUAAAACUUCUCUUGGUAAUUUUUCCUUCAAGACAAGAUUCACAUGGAGGUAGAGAGUUAUCUUCUAACUAAUUUAGAAGUACACUCUUAACUAAUCUCCCAAUUCUAUUGAGAUUUAUGUGACCAAGUUUUAAGUGCCAUAAAUAGGUGUUAGAAGAAACUAAUUGUCUCUUAUACUAAAUAAUUGAGUAUUAAAGACAAGUUUUUGCUUUAGUUAGUCUUAACUUAUAUGAGUUGUUUAUAAGUAGAACAAAACUCAAUAUAUUAUCUAGAAAGAUGAACAUUUCAUAAUUUCAAAAUAUAUUCAACACAUUUGUUCCAAAAUAGGAGAAAUAGAUAUUAAAUUUCUCAACUCACUAAGAAGCAUACAAAACAUCUUUAAGUAUGAUAUAUCUAUUAAAACAACAUCAAAUCUCCCACUACUUCUAUCAAGACGACCUCAUUCGUUCCAAACUUUGAGGAUGAUUUCGUCUUCUGAAAGCUUUAUAAGAACCAGUUUCUUUAAAAGUAAAUAUGAUUAGUGACUUAUGAAUAUUGUAUUCAGGUUGAAGUAUCAUAUUCCACUAAGCACAUUUCAACAUUUAGUAAAUCAUAUUUACCUUGUGCUUCCUUCUCAGCUUUCUUCUCAACAAGGUACUUUGGACAAUUUCUCAGCCAAUGUCCGUUAUGGUUGCAGUGGUAGCAUUUACGUUUAACAACAUUAUUUCCCUUACUAUUCUUGGGAGUCUUCCCCUUUUCCUUCUUCUUCAUUUGUGAAGGUCCAACUCUUGUCUUAGAGGACGAUCCUCCCACUAACUCUUUCUCUGUGGUAACUGGUAGCAACAUUUGCUUCCACUUCUUUCCUUUACCCAUGGUAAGGUUUUGGAAUCGUUGGAGCUCAUUCAAAAGAGUUGUUAGAGUGAACUCUAUUUUAUUCAGAGACGUAUUUGUCUAAAAUGGUACAAAACUCUUUGGAAGAGAUUGUAAAAUAAAGCUCACUUGAUGUGCCUCAUCAAUGGGAUCGCCAUUUACUUCAACGAUAUUAAAGUGCAUCAUCAUGGACAUGUUCGCUAACAGAGGUCCCUUCCUUUAUUCGCUUGGUGUAAUUACGUUCAAUUGCUUCAUGUCUUACGGAGUAUGACGGUUGCCCAAACAUUUUCCUUAAUGAAUCCAUAAUCUCUUUAGUCGUGGCUAAGGGUUCAUGUUUCUUUGUGAAAACAACAGACAUGCUGGCAAGAAUGUAGACAUUAACCUUUUCGUUACCUUUGAUCCAUAGAUUAUAUGCCUCCCGAAUAGUUCAGUUAAAAUUUGAGCGGGGUUUAAGGAUAUUCCUCAGUUAAGAAAAAUCUUAAAUAAUCAAUUACAAGUAUUGUAUACAAUUGAGAUUUCCAUGCCGUAGAAUUUUUGCCAUUAAGUUUUACGAAAGUUAAAAGUUGAACUAUAAAGGUAUUCAUGCUGAAAAGAUAAAAAUAAUCAUUUAGAAACUAUAAUCACUAAAGAAGCCAAUCUAGUUUAGCAAAUACUAAUAAUGUAUUCAUCAUUAUAAAGUUUUACAACGAUAUUCCAAAGGUUUAGAAUAACCACCAUCGAAGAGUAGUCGAUUAUUCCUCCUUUGAACUAAGACAAUCUUGACCAGAUGCUAAUUUAUGAAUAUCUCAUAUUCCAAUAGCAUUUAGGUGUCGUUAUUUCGGUCAAGAAUAUACUAACAUUAGAAUCAUUAUUCUCCCGAAAGUGGAGAGUCAACGUGAAAACUAAUCAAUGGGACCGUAUGAACAUUUAGAGUGCACGAUGUUCCAAAUCAUAUAACACAACCCUCCAAAGGGAACAUUGCUCUAGGGCAGACAAGCAGGCGCAUUAUAGGAAUCUCACAGUGUGACGCAAUGGAAGAGACCGUGGGAUGUGUUGUCACAUAUUCCUCACUCACUUACUAUGAACUACUUCCCCUAUUCGCCUUGAUAUUGAUCCAUGUAAACACUCUCCAAAGGGAGUCUGCUCCUAUGUACAGUCCAAACCCUGCAUGGUCCUCACAGUGUGAACUUUUAGGGACAAUAGAGUUAAAAUUGCACUACUUCUCUCUAGUUGAAGUGUUCUGUAAUGGUUUUAAAGGUAUUUAACUACUUUAGGAUUUUAUUUCGGCUAACUUAAACAAAUCCUAAGUAUAGGUAAAAUAUCCGAGCAUAACCAUUAUAUCGAAUUUUAACCUACGAUGUCUAGGUCAUAAAUCAGUUUUAUUACCUCACAUCUCUCACACAUGCUCAUAAAGCUAGGUUAACUAAGCUCAAGAACUGAUUACAAUCUCCAGGUAGGAGGUGUUCCGUAAACCAUCAACUUAAUAACCUCUAACCUUAAACAUUUUAUUUGACUUGUUGACAAGAUCUAUUCAGGUGACCCUCUUAUAACCACUUUUACAAGACAUCGAUCUAAUUCUACAAAAGAGGUAGAUAUGUUUAACCUAGGUGAGCAUGCAAGUUAUCUUUGUUAUAGACUUUAUAAGUCUAAUUCAUUUUAUAACUCUUAUAAAAGAUCUAUGAAAAACUAUAACAAACAAACAAUAUAUAAUCAUUAUAUAAAGAAAUUAAUUAAUAUAUAUCUUAAUUUAUUUAACUUUUAAUUAAAUUAUAUUUAAUUAAGUUAAACAAAUCAAUAGAUAAUUAAUUUCAUUAAAUCACAUAUAAUUAAAAUUAAUUUAAUUAAUUAAUCAACACUCAUAUUAUACAUUAUAACAAUUAUAACAUACUUUCAAUGCAAAAACAUGUUAACCUAUGGUGUGAUUUUAAAUCUAUAUGACAUGCUUUACGUACAUACAAUUUAAGAGAAUAAUUAAAAACAUACAUCACAUGCAUAGUUAAUUAAACACCAUCAAAUGGAUUGGCUUUGACUCCUAAAUUAAGCUAAGGACUAAAUUAUUACAUUAAUAAUUUGGUGAACUACAAUAGAGCUCCCGAAAAACUCAAACUGGCUGGAAAAACACCAAAAAAACACUAAACUGACCCAAAUACCCUUGAACCGACCCAAGACCCAACAUUUGGGCUUGAAUCGACCCAAAACCACCAAGCCAGACCAUCAGGCAUUGGUGGGAGUCAAUCAGGUGAAACCCGGGUCUGGCGAACGCAUGAAGCAAGCCAUACGCGUGAAUGGCAGACAUAGACCAGAUUGGAUCCGGGUCGAAGUUAAGCAUGCAGGCGUAAGGGAACUCGAACGAGGCGUGUGUGGGCUUGGGAUGCAUGCAAAGAGAGCCAAGCACACUCGAUGAGGGCUGGGCGGAUGCGAGGUGGGCCAGGGUUAGGGCAUCAGGUGGGUUGCAAAGUGGGUUGGUGGCCAGGUUUUCAGGUCUGAAGCCUUCUUUUCGGGUAUGUCCUCCAUUUUUCUCCAAUUUUAAACUUUUCUCUUACCCGAUUGAUGAAAUUACACCAUUUUUUUCAACUCUAAUGACUCCAUACAAACCCUUUGCAAUAAUAAAUUAAGUCAUAAAACGGGCUAAUUACAAUAAUUAUUAUAAACAACAUUUUAGCUUAAUUUAAUUUGCUAAUGGUAUGGAUUUUUAAUGAAAAUAAAUUACAUAUAUACUGACGUAUAUUACCAAUAUACUUGGGUUGUUAAGUUGCAACAUGUAAGCAAAUUUCACCAUCAUCUUGUAGGAUUCCAUCGUAGAACUUCUAAUCUCAUCCAACGCAGUCUGAUCACGUGCAUGCCAUGCUUUUUGGUAAGAUAUGCUUAAGUCAUGUUCAGCACAAACGUAAUGAACUAUAUCUUUGGGAGUGGACAAUUCAGAACCAGCUAAACUUAUUUUUUUUCUUUAUCAAGUCCUUGAUAAAGAUAACCUGUUGAUCUGGUAGUGGAACAUCUAUUGAACAUGUAUGUUCAGAAUCGAAUCUAGUGAGAACCCAUAAUGUCCUAUCCACAUGCAAACAACAAGAAGCUCGCAAUGACCAUUUGCAAUCUUCAAUCACGCACUGCAAAAUCAACACUUACUUGUUUGAUUUCACUAUAACGUAUUGAAAAUUGUCGCUAAUAGCAAUGACUUGAACGAUCUAUUUCAACAAAGAUUUGAUUGAAAACAUGUCGUGAAUUUUUAGUGCAAAGUUGGAAUCUAUGUUAGACAUAACAUUUUUAAAAAAACAGCCCUCGCUUGAAUGAAAUUCAGUUUGAAAUGAACUUGAGCACGAAGAACCCAAAUAAAUCGCUAAAAGACCAACAAAAUGAACAAUAUGAACAAUAUGUUGUUCAACGUUCCAUGUUGUUAUAUGGUAAACUCAUUUAACAUCGUUACCAUUCCUUAUAGCCAAUCUUAAGACAUUCUAUAGAACCUAGGCAAAGGUAUAUAUCAAUAUUAAUUAUUCAUAUCAAUAAAACUACCUAACUUGAAUCUAAAGACAUACAAUUCUUUAUAGCACAUACGUUCAUCAACUAUUAUUUCGGACACACAAACUAAUGUAAUUGUUAGAUUUGUUGAAAAAAUCAUCGAAAUAGAAUGCAAUUCUAAUCAUCCUGCCAAAAAAAAUUAGAACUAUAUGUCACUAAAUAUUAAUGUUGUAAAUAAGAUGUGGUAUAUACACUAAAUCACAUAAGAAAAGUAUUAUAUUUUACAGAUAUAUUAAAGUAUAUAUUGUUCAUUUAAUAUAUAUAUAUAUAUAUAUAUAUAAUGAAAAUGUGUACAUAUGAUAUUCUCCAUGUAUAGAUACAUUGAGAAUGUAUAGUUUACUAUUGUUUUAAUAAUAUUUACUAUAUAAACAUAUAUUUUAAAUAUGAAUUCUGUUGGAAUUAUGUAGUUUCCUACCUGUUGUUUAGCGUAUAUUUAAAAUAUAAAUGUUGAUAUGACUAACAUCUUUAUAUUACUAUAUGAUAAACAAAAAAAAAAAAAAAAAAACUAAAGGAAAGAAUUCGAGUGUCUUACUUAUAUCAUUAUGUGUUAUUAUAUAAAAAAAUUAUCGAAGUGAAAAAUUUGGACAUCUUACUUCAACUAACCAAAACAAAUUACAUCGGAAUUGAUGGAAAAAAGUACCGAAAUUGAAGGAUGACGUUGUUGUUGCUGACACCGGAUGAAACUUCUCAAAUUCUUAACGUGGUGAUGAAAAUAAUGAAAUACAUUUAUAUUUAAUUAUUAAAUAAUUCCAUAUUAGAAAAGAUCUUAUUUUAUAUUUAAUUAAUAAACUACAUCCAAAUUACUUCCACAAUAAAGUUAUACAUUAAUUAAUAUCAUAAAUAAAGAAGUUAUCCUUUAACUAAUAAAUUGAAUAUAACGUAAAUAAAGAAAUAAUUUGAAUUUAAUUUCAUGAAUUUAAUCAUAUAUGAUUUUUGAAGAGCUUAUGCAAGUUCAAACAAUUAUAAUAGCUUAUGCAAGUUAGUCAAUAACUCAAGGACAUCUCUACCUUCAUCAUCACCUCCUAUUUGUGAGGUAAUAGUUUAUUAAUUAAAAAAAGUAUAUCCUAAGAGGCUUUAUACAUUUAAUAACUGUACCCGAUAUUGGGGUUCGCAAGUGCAUGAUCUUCCUAUUGCUCUUUCGGUUUGAGGGAUGAUAAGCGUCUACGAAUUUUGAGGUAUCCAAAUCUACCAGCACCAGGAGAAGAACCGUAAAAAACGUAUGGCAAGAACCCUGUUGCUCCUUUGUAUCUUUGUUGAAUCUGGAUCAUUAAAACUUCAUAAAUUAUAUAACCAUAACUAUUUCAAUAUACACAUUAAUUGAGAUUAGUAUUGUUGGUAAACGGAGAAGAGGGGGUGGAUUUGGUCCUUCAAAAUCAAAUAGAGGCCUACCAAAGGUUGGUUUUUGUUAUUCCCCAUAUGUGAAGAGUUUGGAAAAUCAUUUUCAAAAAUGCAUUUUGAAAUGAAAAAAAAAAAAAACCAACUUGAAAGAGAAGUGAGAGAAAAGGAAGAAGAAUUUAGAGAUGACCUCUAUGAUUUGGUGGCUGCUGCCCAAGGAGUUUCGACCCAUAACACAGACGGUUCCACCGGAGCCUCCACCAGUGAUCUUUGCUCCAUACAAAGUCCCAUCUUCGGAUUUGGAUAACUUGGAGUGUUGCAUGUCUUGAACCAACUGGACUAGCCGGUCUGUGCCAUCCGACCCCAGCCCACAUGCACUGUAACUAUAAUGGCACUGUGCUCCAUCCAUAACAAACUCGCCAUUUUUAUUAUGACUUACCUAAACAACCAAAGGAAGGGCAAACUAAACAGAACCAAAUCGUACCCUACCUGAUAUAACAAUUCUCCAAGUGAUGUAAGUUGGUCAUCAGAAGUAGCUGAAGUGAGCAGCGCUUUGAAGGCCUUUAAACCAAAGUAUUCAACAACAAAAUCAAUUCAACUAGAUAUAUUUGUAUAUCCUUGCAAAUGUAAAUGUCAAUGCAAAUUCAAACCUUGACACGGAAAUUCUCAUAGAUAGGAUGACGAGCACAGGCUCUGACUCCAUAAACUCUCUUUGGAUCAAUCACCGUUACAGCGUCAUUGUGAUCUGAAUAUUUCUCCAUAAAAGCCUCCCCUGUUAUUGUCUCUGGUAGCUGCUUUGCGUAUAUGGCUUCAUAGCGGUGAGGGGGGAGAUUACAUAGAUAAUAUAAGGAGGAUUCGGAUUCCAGUAGCUCAAUGCCGUCAUCUUCCAAGUCGUCAUGGCUUAUGCCAUUGGCCAGUGAUGAGGAGUUUGAUAACAACUCUGAUGCUCUUGACUUUAUCAUUCUCCGUCCCAUGAAGGCUCCGAUUCUAACUGACCCAUAAUCUGCCCCACCAACGCUGCAGAACCAACACAACAAUUGAGAUUACUGACUGUUUGAUGAAGUUUUCCUGUUUGGAUUCUUUGUCUUCUGUAUUUUGAAAAAAAAAAGUGCAUAACUAAACAGCCAUAUGACCAACAACCACCAAAACAGAAACCAAGAAACCAGAAAAUUUCUGAAUUUCUGGUGGUUUGGGUUGUUGUUUCUGAUUUUCUGGUUUCUUUGUUUCUGUUUUGGUGGUUGUUGGUCAUAUGGCUGUUUAGUUGUGCAUUUUUUAAGAUAAAAGAAGAAAAAUGACUGCUAAUGCAGGUGCCAAGAGACCCCCAUUACGCUAGGCUUUCUUUAGAAGAGGGAUUUUUGCUACAAACUUCCAGCCGGCUAUAGGUUUGGUUUCGAUACAUUUUAAAUUUGUGGAAUAUCAAGCGAGGGGAUUAAGAAAAUUGUGAGUUCAUGAGAAAAAAUAACGUUGAGAAGGGGCGAAAAUAGAAAAUCUUUUAAGAGAGAUUUGGAGAAGGUGGUGAAUAGUUAGGAAAGAAAAAUCGAAGUUAAUUAAAUAUCAUUCUCAGACUAUCAAGUUUGUAUCAACUCAUAAGGAGCCAGAAAUUAAAGAGGACGAGUAUCUAUUUCGAGGUUUAUGAAAUUUCAAACUUGUUUGAUAAGUUCUCCCCGAUUUAAAAAGUGCUUAAUAACUCCUAAAUCUUUUAUUCAUUAAACAUGUCUUAAUUUUAAAAAAUUAGUAGAUAAAUUUGAAAAUUGACACAAAAAUCACUGUUGAAUAAAUCCAUGUCAAUUAUAAAAAAAUGAUGAAUAUGUCAAAUAUCAAUUAGAUACAUAAUGAAAAUUUUAUGAAUCUAUUUGAUAUUUUAAAAUGUAAAAAAUUAAACAUUUUAAAAGUUCAUAGACCUAACAAUUAAAAGUAAAGGACUGAUCUUUCAAUUUAACCAAAGACAAAUUGUUUGAAUUACAUUUGUUUGUUUCUCUUUCUUACAUCCACACCCUCCAAUAUUUGCUUAUUACGAGAGAUACAUAUUGGAGAGAGAUAUAUACAAUAGCCAAUAGAGGUAGAGUUAAACUUUAGAAAGACAAAUUAACUUAGAAGCUAAAAAGUGGUCAUGGUGAAAACUAAAAUAGGGAGGAGAAACUUGAAGUGAAAAAGUUGUUGUGAAAGAGGUUAAAAAGUUUAAAAGAUGUCUAUUAGACAAAGAAAGAAAACUUGUAGGAAAAGGUUGGUAAGAGGAAGAUAUGGAAGAGAGGUAGAGAGAGAAAUUUUAGAAAGUAAUAAAAUAGGGGGAGAAGAAUGGAGAGAAAAGAUGAGAGACAAAUUUAGAGUAAGGAAAGGAAGGAAAGUUAGAGCCAAAACGGAAUGAUGGAGAGAAUAUAUUAAAAAUAUUAUGGACAAGAAAUUUUGAUUUUAUCAAAAAUAAAAGUUGAUGAUAAGAGAGAAAAGAUAAAAUUUUGAAAGACAUAAACCUAUAUAUAUAUAUAGAAAACUUUUUAAAAGAAAACAAAAACAAAAUAGUAGGGAAAAAGAGACAAUAUUAUUGAUAACAAAAAGAAAAGAUUACCUGUGUCGAAUUCCUGAAUCAAUUCCCCAAAAUCGAAUGUGACCUGGUAUAUCAACUAGCCCGAUCACCUCUGCUGGCUGCAAAGCAAAAUCAACAUCCAAUUCCAAUUUGUCACUACUUCGUAAAACUAUCGAGAUAGUUUGUGAGAUUUUGCCUCGUAUUAAUGCAGAACUGUUCAAAAGGCUUUUUAUGCGUAAGUACACUCAUCUCCGACAACGAGAGCGGUUGUUUAUGAUGAAAUAUAUGAAAGAGGGCCUUGGGGUUAUCCCGACACUCUCUCUCCCUCACAAGAGAAAAAUCCUAUCUGUUCAGGGACGCAUUUUUUUAUGGUAAAAGGGUUUUUCCUCAAGAAGUGGGUCAUUGUGAUCUGGCCUGCCUCAAGUGUAGUGCAGUUGGCAUAAAAAUGCUCCCAAAUUGAAAUAAGAAAAGCUGAUCAUUCUUGAGCCACCUUUUUUCUUUUAAAGAAGAUGAUGCUUUUCUUGAGUGAUUGGAUCGGAUAUUAUUAUUAUACCUUACCUGGCAAACCAUUGCUAGCAGUUUAUCAGCUUCCCCACACGCCGAUGUCAUCUGGUCCAUCACUCCACACGGUGCUCCAACUAUGUGAUUCUCCACCUAAUUAAUUUACAUUGUUUUCAACACUUCUCAUUACUGAAUAAAAACAUAACACAACAUCUAUAUAAUAUAUAUAUAUAUAUGAUAUUUUAUCUACUAACUAUGAAGAUGAUAAAGAUUCAUGAAUAGGCAAUACAAUUGAACAUCAACCUCGGUAAAAAAAAAAAUCAUACCUUUUGACAAAGCAGCGCCAGGUCUCUUGGACUGAUGCUUAAUCCUGCAAUAUUUUCCCGUUUAAUUUUGUUUCUUUUGUUGCUAUAUGAUUGUUUCAUUAAAAUGAAUGGUUUUUGAAAUAUUACCAUGAGCAGCAGCUAUGGCAGACAUUGAAGCAACCUCCACUGAGGCUGAUGAAGAUACACCCUUCCCUUCUGGUACUGUGGAAGAAACCUGCCCCACGUUAAAUAGAAUCAAUGACCAAAAACAAUUGGAAAUUACAUCCUGAAUGAUGGGGGGAUCGCCAAAGUUGAAAGAAAACUUGUCUACAACAAUUCUUAUCGACCAAAACAAGGAGACUAUUUGCAUAAUAAGCUACCAUAUUACUAUCCCGCCUGUCAUGUUUUCUUUUAGAAAAUAUUUUGUGUGAAAAGUUGAAACAGUUUGUUUUGCAUACCAACAAGCUGAUGCUAUCUUCAAAACGAACACCCAACUCCCUCAUUAAAACCAAUAUGGUGCCUGCAAUAUAUGCUGCCCACUUCUGUGCAGGAUCUUGAGCAAAAUAUUUCCUUGCCUUCUCGUAUGACAUAGGCCCCUCCCCGUCCAUGAAGUCUGAUAAGUCCAUGUCAAACGUCGGGGCACGGUUACUCAACUCCGAUCCAUACGACACCUAAUCAAGUACAAAAUAAUGAUUAGUGAGGAAAAGAAAAGAAGUUUCUAUACUAAUACAAAUUCAUGUAAUUACGUUUACAACUUACAAUUUGAAGAACAGGUUUGGAUCCUUCUCCUUUGGCAUUUUGGCGAGCCUGAGCGUGUUUCCAGAGGCGAUGUUUAGUAGGAUGGUUUCUUUGCAGAGCUACAUGGCAUGCUUCUCUUAUAGGUAACUACAACAGAGGAUAGCGGAAAGAAAAUGUUAGAAUCACUACUACAGUUCACAGCGAAUGAACUGGUGAUUGAAAUUCACUACAAUAAUAAACAUGUUUUGUCAGGAAAAAAAAGAACUUGAAAUGUUUAUAGCCCUCUUUUAAGUUAAAUUUCAGUAGCUAGACAUUAGUCUAGAUUAAAAAAAAUAUAUCUAAUAACGUAUACUAAUUUUAUUAAAUUGGAUAUAUAUUUAAAUUUGCCUUUGAUCACCAGCUUGAGCUUUUGGGUGAAUUGGUAAUUUAAUAUGGUAUCAGAGCAGGUGGUACAGGGAGGUUUGUGUUCAAGCCCUGGCAUUGUUGUUUCCUCUCCAAUUAAAAUUGAUUUCUACUUGUUGGGCCUUUCAAAUAUUUCAAGCCCACAAGUGAAGGGGAGUGUUAGUGAUAUAUAUUUAAAUUUGCCUUCAACCACCGGCUUAAGCUUUUGGGUGAGUCGAUUUUUUAAUAAAAAGCAAGAAUACUUGAGUGCAUCUUUGACUACACGCAUCUUUUUGAAACAUACCCUAACCACACAAACAGAAAAAGCCUUAAACAAAUAUUUAAGAGUGGGAAUGAAGCCUCAACACCCAUGAGAAACUACAAAAAAAAAUUCAGAACACUUUGCUUAGCCCCUCGAUGUGUUGCCUAUGCGCUAAAGAUGAGGAAACGUUGGAUCAUUUAUUUCUACAUUGUCCCUUCACAAGAAAAGCUUGGUACACUCUGUUUGGUAUUUUCGAUUUGGAGAUUUGCCUUCCUAGCAAGAUUGAUAGAUGGAUGAUUGAAGGUCUUAACUUUAGAGGUUACAGCCCUAAAGGAAACAUCUUAUGGAAAUGCGCGACGCGUUCCCUUUUGUGGAGCAUUUGGAAAGAAAGGAAUAGCAGAAUCUUUGACGAUAGAUUUAAUUCUUUUGAUUCUUUUUGGACUGUGGUUCAACACACAGCCUCUUGGUGGAGUACGAAUUACACCAAACACUUUUGUAAUUAUAGCCUUUCUAUGAUUUUCAACAAUUGGAAGGCCAUUAUGUCUUAGUUCCUUAGCUUCUUCCGGGGAGGGCCCUCUCAUCCCUCGCCCUUAGGUUGUUCUGUUUUGUUAUAUGAAUAUACUUGUCUCUUAUCAAAAAAAAAAAGAGUGGGAAUGAAGAAGUGUUUAUGACAUGACAAACCAUAGUUGUACAGUUGGGUGGACUGCAAAAGAUAGGGACAGUUCAGGAUUCACCCAGUUUUCUUUUAAUAGGAAAUUUGAAACUACAAUAAAAUCACAUAUUCUUUGGACGGUUGAAUUUGAGAAAAAAACUACACAAAAAUGAAGUUUGAGCCUUCUGUAUUUUUUAAGGCAUCAAAAUAUAAAAGUGCGACUUUACCUGAAGAACAAGACUUCCUGAGUAGUCAGCAAUGCCUCCCAUUACAUCCAAUCUUCCUGGAGCUCUUGUCACAAAAAUCUCUUCCUGUACGCACAGAUGUCAUACAAGUAUUCCCAUUUUAUUCUCACAAAAAAUAAAAAAAGAAGAGAUAAUAAUAAUAAUAAAGUAACAAUAACAAUGAAUACAACAAAAUAGCAACCUCCCAAUUAAAAAGACCAGCAGCAGCCUUUUGCUCCCGCAUUUGGCGUUUCUCAGCCAUUCCCGAAUCAUAUACUGAGUUCAAUUCAGCAAGGCUCUUUAAGAAACUCAUCGUAUCAGGAAGACCUUGUACAUCUCCAUGAAGCACAUCAAAGUGUUCCAUAUAUCUAUUACAAGUCAUGAACAUAGCAACAGAAAUUAGAUUCAAGAACAAGAAGCUACUAGUUUUCAAGAUAAACUACUUUUCAACUGCAAAAAGUUCUCACGAUUCCAUAUGAGCGCCUCUCCCCUCUACAGGUAAGGUUGGUGAUUUGUUAGGAAGACCAAGUUCGCUUUCAGCAUUGGCAAACCAAUCUGGUAUGCAUAGAUCACGUCCUGGGGCCCUUUGGAGUUGAUAGCCAAGAACUAUAGCAUCUCUCAAUCUUCUAGCUCCACUAAACUAUAGUUUGACAGGGGAAAAUGAGAAUAAAAACACAAGAUGUCUAAUUCACCAACUACAUACAAACAACAAAUUUAACUGCAUUAUGGAAAUAAUCAUCAUUAUGAGUGAUAUGAAACGAGAAAUUUUGACCUUAUCUGAUGCGUAGUUUUUUCCACUGGCUGUCUCCUGCAAGAUAUGAGCUGCAACCUAAACUUUUAAAAAGAGAAUCAGAAAAUUGAACAAUCAAACCACAUAGAUGUAAAAGGAGAAGUGCAUCAUCUUUAUCCAUGGAAAAAAAAAACAUUAAACAAACCAAAUAGAAUCCUAAAGAACUGCUACAAAAUGGUGAUACAGUGUGUAGAAGAUUAUACCUCACCACCAUUUGUGCCACCCUCAUAGCAAGGUUUCAAACUAAUUGCACGUUCGAGAUAUGGUUUCCAAUGACCUGUGAGUAGGUCCCUUCUUAUCAUCUCAACUCCACUUUGAUAAUACUGUUGUUUAUGAGACGAUGAAAUAGUUAAAUUAUCAACAAGGUUACAGCAGGGAAAAUAUAUUAGAAGACAACUUGAUUCACCUCGAGCAUAUUUCUCAGGAAUGGUUCUUCGUUAAAAUAAUCACGGCGAACAAAGACGAAAGGUAAUUUGUAUGCCAAUGCUUCACUGACAGUUCCAUAUCCAAUUUUGCCUAAAAGAACAGGAAGAAUAUUAAUCUACCCUUAUUAACCUGAUUAAACCCAGGGACAAAUAAAUGACAAUAUUUAUAACUCACCAAGCAUACAAUCAGAAGCAGCUAUUAGGUCAGGUGUAUAUGCAUCUUUUGCAAGCUUGAUGAAAUUUGGUGGAAGCUCCUCUGUUUCAGAAGCACCACAAACCUGAAGCAAUAGUCAAAAUGCAACAGUAAAAGUGUUUGUGAUCAUAUAGUCACCUCAUUAUCUAAUACAAAUGAUAUAAAUAAGAUGUUCAAAAGGUACCAAACACAGCCAGCCAGGAGGCAGGUAUUCCUCCUUCAACUUCCAGCCUGCAGGCUGCCAGUGGGAGAGACAAAAAUAACGGAAAAGUUAAUAAGAGUAUGUAAUGAUAAUCGUAAAAGAAAUCUGUGAGACCCCCCUAUAAAAGAAGAGGUAAAGUGGGGAAUACCCAAUGCCAAGAAGAGAAAAACACCAGAGGGUCCACUGUGAAGGGAGUAUAAAUAGAGAAUAUUUUUGGGGAUUCGGUUUUUAGGUAUUGAUUGUGUUAAAAGUAGUUUCCAGCCUUCUCAAAGUGUUUGAGGGGGAGUGUUAGAAUCUUAGAAUAUUUAUUAGAAUAUUUAUGGAAAGAUUAUGGAAAUAUUUUUCCUUAUUCGUAAAUCUUUUCCUUUUUUAUUCUCUUGUAUAUUCUAUUUAUUCUCUCUUGUACCUGUUGUAUUAUUCAUUAGAAAAUAACAACAAACAAUCAUGGUUUUUCUUCCGGUACUUGGGUUUUCACGUAAAUCGGUGUGUGCGCUUUGUCUCUCCUUCCAAUAUAUUUUCAAAGAGUGCUGCCUCUGUUUUGUGCUAUCGUUGAGAUUUUUCUGAGUUUCAGGUUUAGAAUCUUAACGAAAUCCUGAAACAAUUGAAAAUUUUAUAUGGCUACAUUUGAAAUUUUAUAUAGCAUACCAGCGUAAACUAUUUAUAGUGUCUUUGCAGGCAUCUCAAUUCAGAAAAGAAACCAAUGAAAAAUUGAUACUGAAUUUCUUCAAUAAGUAAACGUUGUGGAUAAUUUAGAAGUCAAUAAGAAAUAUACCAGAACCGAUCAAAUAAAAGGUGGAAAACAAAUAAAUUUCACAGACCUGCCCACCGAAAUUGAGAAUAACCAACUUUGUAUCUUCUCCAAUCUCAAGCUCCUUCCUCACCUAGAAUAAUGAUUAAGAAACCGUUAAUGACUUAAAAUGAUCAAGAGAUUUAACAAAACUUCACGAGACAGUACCUCCUUGCGCUGUUUGUGAAGCCUUCUAACAACUAGAGGUACAUCAACAACAUCACGAAAAGCGGGCACUGCAAAAGAAAGGUUUGUUAUACAAUUAUACAUUUAAAAUAAACAAGCUCCCAUAACUAGAAUUUAUGAUUUGGGUUGUAAUAUCAUUAAGAAAAUGAGACAAAUUGAAAGGACACUAGUACUUGGACAGUAUCCUGGGAGGCGGAUCAGGAACUCGCAGUGUGAAUAAUCUUCUGCAAUCUGAAAAAGAGACAUAACGAGUUAAUACAAGAAAUGACCAAUCGGGCUGUGCAAGGAGAUUACAGAACGUUAAAUUAUAAAACAUUAUUAUCUCGAUUAUCCUAAUACAGAGACUGUGGGCGAAAGAAGAUUGUCAUUGAAAUUUUAUUUUGAAUUUUUUUUUUUAGUUUAGAUUCAUGCACCAUAACAUGAGAACACAUCAACGAACAGAGUAGUCCGCAAUUAUGAAAAUUACAUCCUCUCAGGUGGCUGGAAAACCCGUUCUUGACUUAAACUCAUUUUGUGAACAUAUUGUCCCCGUGAAACUCCCAAUGAGAAAAAUACAUCACAUCCCAAAAACAAAUGAUUUUAGACAUCUCUAAUCAAUACAAUUCUUAAGAUGAGCGCAAGUUCAUUCAAUGAGUGAUUUAGACCCUACGAAUUUAACAAGGUAAUGUUAAAACAAGGCCAUUUCUUUUAAUAUAACUAUAAUCAUCAUGAUCUAGACCUCAUUGGAUAGGCUUUUUUAUUUCUUUCUUUUCUUUCACAAUAUUACCAAUAUUACAGUAUAUAUUAAUGCAGAAAGAGAUUGAUUCACCUGCCAGACUAUAGAACGGUGAUAAUGCCCUGCGGCCAUCACAUACUCUGCAUAGAUAAAAUCCCAGCUGCAAAUACCAACUAAUACAAUCAUUAGCUAAACAAGAAAGCUUUGAAGCAAUUCAAGAUACUUCCAAACCUUUAAAUUCUUACCAAGUGAAAAGAGCAUUUAAAUUUAAGAGAUGCUUGAAGUUCUGAUAAAAAGAAAUAGACAAAUACCUAAAGUUCGUGACACAAACAGAGCGAAUUCCAGCAUCAGCUGCAGCACGGCAAGCAACUGGUACAACAUCUGAAACCUGAUUACCAUGGGAGCAGAACUAAAUCAGUCAAACCUUCUUUAUAUUAAAUAUGUGGUUUAAAGCAAAAGAACAACCUGCCAAGGUCGUUUAAUGUCUGAUACUAGAUAGAUGAAAAUCAACCAAUCAAAAGAUUAUUGUUGGUGGUAUAUAAUUAAAUUUGCUUUCAACUACCAGCUUAAGCUUUUGGGUGAAUUAGUGGUUUAAUAUGGUAUCAGAGCAGGUGAUCCAGGGAGGUCCUAUGUUCAAGCCUUGCAUUGUCAUUUCCUCCCCAAUUAAAAUUGAUUUCCAUUUGUUGAGCCUUUUCAAAUAUUUCAAGCCCACAAGUGAGGGGGAGUGUUGGUGGUAUAUAAUUAAAUUUGCCUUCAACAACCAGCUUAAGCUUUUGGGUGAAUUGGUGGUUUAAUAAUUAUAACAUAUCAUCUUAAUGAUACUAGGUAAUUUACAUUUCACUAUUUAGUAUACGUACUACAAGAAGCAGUUACCACUAAAUCAGCUUUGAUUGAGUUGAGCCACUCUACUUCAGUUGCCAAAAUAGAAGCACGAGGCACCACAGCUGUCUCAUGAUACUAAUAUGUCAGAAAACAAAGAAGACAUUGUCAACACAGUUAGAAGGGAAAAGAAAAGGAUCCAGUAGAAACGUUUCAAAAGUAAGUGAAGUAGCUGGUAGCCAAUGUAACUUUAUUUUCUUAUGGAAUCAGGGAAAAAUAAUGGAAACAAAUUACUGGCGAGAAGAAAAUGAAAUAUUUCUCCAUUCACCUUCUCCAGUGAUGCCAAGCGAUCCACUGUCAGUGCAUCUGCUUGAACGGCUCCACAAUCCAACAAUACCUGAUCAGUAAUGAGACUUCUAUAAGCAUCUCAAAAACAUUUUUGCAUAGGAUUGGUAUGGUUUGCAUAUGCAAUUUUAAUGGUACUGACGGUUAGAAGCAAUGGCACGGUCCAUUCAAAACUGCAUAAACUUAAAAUUGGUGUCAUUCAUAAAAUGAAAUAAAAUAUACAAUCGCAAAUGUAAAACACAAAAAUUAAUCAAACAUCAAGAGGAAGAAUAAAACUGAAAAUCUCUGUUGGACUGGCAUUGGAAAUCAGACUACCUUUCGUAUGAAUAGCCGAGGAGAUUGAAUUGCAGAAGUGAAAACGAACUCAGGAGCACCGCUGACCACAUGAACAUCGUGCCCAGCAAGUAUAAGAUGCCGAACAACCUUUUCACAUAAACAUUACAUCAAACGUUUUCGAAAAUCAGAAUAUGAUCGCCGAAGAAAAAAGAAAAAGAAAACAAACCAAUUGUGUCAAACACAAAAAUGGGGAAAUUCUAAAGACCCAUACCACCAUUCCCUAACACAAGUAAAACCCAAAACCCCAAAAUCGAAAUUCAACGGAAACAUGGAAAAUAAACAAAAAAAAUUGAUCACUGAUUCAGCUAAAAUUGAAAACUCGAGGGCCAAAAGUUCCAUGCUGAAAAGUAAAAACUAUAAUUUCUAUAAUAAAAAAAAAAAAAACCAUAUUCAAUCAGAAUUCAACAAGAUAAGAAAAAAGAAAACGAUGAUUAAAAAUGUGAUCAACGGAUGAAGAAAAGUGACCUCAAUAACACGAGUAGCGUGGCCAAAGCCAUGGCCAGUGACAUAGUAAGCAAAAACCAGAUGAUUACGAGAGGCUGAAACAGCCUCCUCAGCCUCCUUCACAAUCCUCAUUCAGAUGUUCUGAGUGGAACAAUAAAAAACGGUUGGAAUACAAUUAGUUGUAAAAAGAAGAGGACAGAAGAAAGGGAGGAAUAAUGGGAAAAGUGAGGGAAGAAGGAAGAAGAAGAAGAAGAAGAAGCAGAGCAGGAGUUGUGUGAUAUCAAUGGAGGUUUUUUGGUUAUCGAUAAAAAUGGAGGAAUUUGUUUUUAGGUGAAGAAGAAACCGUAUGACUAUGAGUUUGUUUUCCUUCUCCACAGAGACCUUUUUUCUUUCUCAUACUCCACUUUUGGACUUUGCUUUGUUCUGACUUUUUGACACAUUUAAUUAAAAAUUAAUUGCUUUUUAUUUAAAACAAAAACAAUAAUAAAUUAAAUACUCUAUUCGGAUAAGAGAAAAUUAAACGUAUUUUGUUUUCCGUUUGUUUGGAAUUAUCUUUUAAUUGCGUAAGCUCCACGUCACAACCAAGGGGUCUUACAUUUCUUUUCUUUUCUUCUUUUCUUUUUUCUUUUUCCUUUUUUCUUUUUUAAUUCAAAAAGAAAAAAGAGGUGAAUUGUAAAUUUGUGUUUACAUUUUUACAUAAAUUAAAAUCUUUAAAUAUAAACUUCUAAAUAGAUAUACUUUUAAUUAAAUAGGAAUAAAAUAAAUAAAUGAAUAAAGGAAAUUUACAUUUUUAAAAAUAGCAAAAUAAAUUAAACUAUUUACAACCGAUAACAAAAUUUUGGAUUCUAUUAUUGAUAGUCUUCUAUCUCAAACGUAUAUCAAUGACUAUCAAUGAUAGAAUUUGCUAUAGAUUGUAAAUAUUUGGUAAAAUUUACUACUUUUAAAAAAAUUUCUAAAAAAAUUGUUAAAAAUUGAAAAUAUCGGCAAUUCAUACAAUUUUUUAAUUAUUAAAUGUGCAUAAGUUAUUAUCAAAUAAGUUAGGUAUGUUUUUGGAGAAACUUUUGUAAAUAUAACAAAAUAAUGAAAUAUUUAUAGUAGAAAACGAGAAAGUGCGUAUUUUCAAACAAAAAAUUAUAGGUUUGUUUUUCCUUUCCAUCGUUUUUUGCAAUUUUUUUAUUUAUUUGAGAUGGUUAUAAGGAUCACUUUUCAUAUUUUUCGGACUUAUGGGUUUUUUUCUUUUUUGAAAAUAUGUAUUUUACCGUUUUCUUAUAUUUUUAAAAAAACUCUCGGUGAGAAUCCAAUUUUUUUUAGAAAUCAUCAAAAAUGACAAAAAGACAAAGCAAAAAUCAGGUGUAAAUUGUUUGAUUUUUUUUUAUUAUUCUUUAAAUAACAUUUUUUAAGAUUAUAUUUAUCUGCAUUUUCAAAUAAGUAAUUAUUGUAUAAUUAUAUAUUUUUAAUAUUUAAAAGAAAGAUAAAACAAAUGGGUUAGAUACAAAAUGUUGAUUCAUUUCGGAAAAAUUUGAACAUUCAAUAAUCUAACAAACAAAAUUGUUGAGAGACAAAAUCUUGAUUCAGUUAUUGUUAUAUGAGUAAAAGAAAAACUAAAAUAAAAUAUCUACUCAACUCUAAGUUUGGAGGAAGAAAACAGUUACGGUUACCUACAUUUCCAAUUAAGUUAUUAAUAUUUAUAAAUAAAUAUACCUUUCUUAUAAGAGAAAUUGUAAUUGAUGAUCAUUUUAGGAAUAAUAAUUAAAUAUAUAGCAAUGUUUUUAAAAAAUUACAAAUAUAUCAAAACUAUCACUGAUAGACUUGUAUCGCUGAUAGACUUCGUAUGGUCUAUGAGUGAUAGACCAAUAUUUGCAACAUGAUCUAUCGGUGAUAGACUUAUAUCAUUGAUAGAAUUUGACAAAUUUUGUUAUAUUUGUAAAUUUUUUAAAAUGUUGUUAUAUACUUAAUUACAUAAGAUGAGGGUAGCUCAACAACGCUGGCUCAAUAAGCCUCCCAUUUUAGGGGUAUGACUAAGUGGAUAGUUGAGACAUAAGGUGCAAGACGAAAUUCAUUUAUAUCUGUUAGAAUUACUAGAUAGGUUGUUCCCCUAAGGACAUAAUUCAAGUCUUAAAUAAGGGCCCCCACCCUCUCAUUGCCUGUGAGAGAUUUAGUUCAUAGCUUGUACCUUAAAUCAAUUGUUCAAUAGUGGAUUAGUGGGACUUAGGGAGCAAGAUGUAAUCUCGAGAGAAAAUGAUAUUUUGACUGUUACGAACAACCUGUGAAGAAGUAACUUACAAAUCAUUAUUAUAUUAGAUGGGCACAAAUAUAUCUUAGUGAAUGGAGUGCAACUGUGAGACUUUAAUGAAAUGACACAUUAGUUAAGGAAUGUUUAUUACUUCGGUAUAAAAGAGUUUACUCAGUUAAUAUUAAAUCGUUGGAAGCCCAUGAUCUAUAGAUCCACUAGGUUUUCCUGCUAACUUGUAUGGAAUUAACUAAGAACGAUAUGUUGGAAUAAUUAGAAUUAUUUGAAUUAGGUCAAUAGAGAGAAACGACGAAUAUGUGUGAUAUAGCGAUCGAUUAUCAAUUUGAGAUAGAACUUUAUGUUUAAAUGCGAUUUAAAUAUUUAAAAAUAUGAAUGCAAAAUCAUAUUUGGAAACUCAGAAUUGAUGGAAAUGGUUAAAGUUGGAAAAAGUCAAAAUGUUGACUUUUUACUUUGGAUAGUCAAAUUUUGGCCGACUUUAUAUUCAAGUAUGAUUUGGAUUUCAGAAAAAAUGAAUGUGGGUUCAUGCUCAGGAGAUCGAAAUUAGUCAAGAUGGACAAACAGUAAAAAUUCAAAAUGUUGCUUUUGGCUUAAAAAAAUCAGUUCGACUUUGACUUGAAUGGUCAAAUGACCAUAUAGGAAUUCUUAAAAAAAUCAGUUCGAUGCUUGGAAUAUGUUUCAUCUUUAGUGAAGACAAAAAGUGUCCAUAAGAUCUAUGGAUUGGAACAAUAUCUUUGUACAUACCACUACAACUUUGAUUUCUAUUUUCUCCCAUGUAGAAGAGAGAGGCUCGUUUAGAAAUGGUUGGAAACGUUUUUCGAAAAAUUUCAAUGUGGAUUAGCAUAAUUUAGUACUCUUGAUCUGAAAUUUACUUCACAAUACAUGUGCAUAUAUGUCUCAAAUAAAUAAGUGUUGAGUGUUGUGGAAGUUUUGUAACUUGUUUUGUAUAAUUCUUUUAGAUAUCAUGAUUGCACUUGUGGAAAUUCUGCAUUUUUUGUGACAUAGUUUGAGAAAUUACAUCUUUGUUGACCCAUCCCUUAUAAAAUGUAUUAUUGUUUCUUCUCUAGGUACCAAGGUAUAUUCUUCUAUGUUAUGUUUACCUUCAUUUGUAGUUUCUUUAGUUUUAUUUUUCUUAUGUCAUUGCUUUUCUUUAAACAUCUUUUUUCUAGUGCAUCAUUAUGAUAAAUCUAUCAGUUUUUUUUUUUUUUUUGUGGAGAUUUAGAAUGAUUUUGACCACAUGGUUAUAUUGGUUACAAUAUGUAGUUUAUUGAAAAUGGACUUGAAGGAGAUGCCGAUUCUGACGAUGAAGAAGAUGAAAUGGAGGACACUGAUGGUGUUGAAGUGGAACAUCUACACAUUUCAGAUUACCAAGGUUUUGCACUAAUAUUCGAUUGAUUUACUAUAGUGAUGAAGCUACCAAGCAAGUGAUUGACGUUUGAUUCAUGACAAGACUUGAUGUAAUUUAGUUAUCUACAAAAAUACAUUGUAUUUAGUUUCUUUGUAAAAGUAUAUUACCAAGGUUUAGUUUCUAUUUUACUUGUAUUUAUCCAUUUGGGAAAAUUCAAUAGAAUUCGUGUACUUAGUUUUUUUGUAAAAAUGUUAUAUGUUAUUGUUAUAUAUGAAAGUUCUUAUUUAUAUGUGUACUAGUUUUGUGUUAAAAUAGAAUCAUUGAAUUACAGGAGCAAAAAUAUAAUUGAAUUACAAUUUUUUUAAAAAAAAAAAAUUCAUAACAUACUUGACGGUUUUAAAAUGUCAUAAACAAGUACAUCCUUGACAGUUUUUCAAUGUCAUAAACAAUCAAUUUCUUGACGGUUAUUAAAUAUCAUGAACACUUAUACUCUUGACGGUUUUAAGAUGUCAUAAACAUUCACACUCUUGACGGUUUUUAACUGUCAUGAACAUUUGUAUAUUUGACGUUUUUAAACUGUCAAGAAUCACUAUUCUUGACGUUUUUAUCAACCGUCAAGAACUUUCGCUUUCUUGACACUGGCUUCAACGACGGUUUUAAAACCGUCAAGAAUAGUGAUUCUUGACAGUUUAAAAAUGUCAAGAGAGCCUGUUUUUGUAGUAGUGAUAUUGUGCCCUUGAACUAAACUUAGUGAGAAAAUCCAACAUUUUGUUGAAUAAUCUCACUAACAAUUAGAAACCGUCACUAACAAUUAGAGCCUGUUAAAACCGUCACUAAUUGUUAGUGAGAUAAGUGACUACAUGAGAUGUAAACACGUAGCACACUAAGUUCCACUAAUGAUUACUAGAAUGUUAGGUGUUGAGAUUUUAUGAACUAAUUACGUGCAUUUUUGCAUGUAAUUACAUUAUAAAUAAACACCACUUCAAAUGAUAUAAGACUUUUGGUAAUUUUUGUAAUUUUGAAUUACAAACUCUCAAAUCUCAACUAUAAACUCUACCUCCAAUUUUCAUCUAUCUCUCUCGAAAUUUCCUUCACUUAUUGAGUCCCACAACCUGGUUAUAAGUUCGGAGAAUAGCGGGACAACACUAGUGGUCGUCUCCAGUUCGUCUUCAUAAGGAGAUUAUAAAGAUUAACAAAACUUCAAAGGUACAUUUUCUUUUAACCCUAAGUUCGUUUAAUUAGGGUAGUGUUUGCAUGUUAAUUUCUAAAUUGUUUAGAUGCAAAAAUGAGAGUAAAAUAGAUCUUGUUUUUCCACUCCACAUGUAUCACUUUCCAUAAAAUAAUUAAUUUUCCCCCAAAAGUUUGAGGUGGACUUAUUGUUUAUCAAUUAAUCUAUUAAAAUUUUAUAGAGUAUUCACGAUUAAUUCUACAAAUUAAAUAAAAAAUAAUUUAUUCUCAUGCAUUUUUUAUAACUUUUCUAUGCACAACCAAACAUAGUCAAACUUAAUUUUCGACAAUCUUAUUCUUAGAAUUCCUUAAUACAUGGGCAUCUAUAAUCCCCUCCAUUCAAACGGCCCUAGAAGAAAGUGAAUUUAUUAUAAGACUCAAACUAUAUUCUUGUACCCAAACAAUUGAUCAACCACACAUUUAUACUCUCUAACUUAAAGCAUUAUAUUAGAGUUUGUGUGGUAAGUACCACGCAGUUGUGUACUUCUUCAUAUUUGUUAGGUUAACGUUCUCGUGCAAAUUAUAAACUUACCCUUUUGUCACAUAAAGCUUAGAUGUAUUUUCUAUGUCUAUAUUUUGGUAUAAAUAGUGGUGAAACUCAUAGAUUCAAAUUGUUUAAUAAAUACUAUAUAUAAAUAUUCGAAAUCUUUACAUUUUGUGUUUCAUACAUAUGGCAAAAUAAUAGUAACAAAAUCACCAUAAACGUUGCUGUGGCAUCUUCAAUUCAAAUAAUUUCGGUAGUUUUAGAUGAUUAUACAAUUUUUAAAAGCUUGCCAAGUCAAGUGAUCUCAAUUACGUAAAAAAUAUAGGCCGACAACAGGGGUGAACACUGUUUGCAAGUUGGAGAAAGAAAUUUUGUACAGAAUGGGCACAAAAUUUGUCUCUCAUAAAAGUUUGGUAAGCUUUAUAAUAAUAGCGAUGUGAUUAAUUAUUAAAAUCAAGAGCAUACCCAACCAGACAUCAUGCAAAUAUGCUUAAUGUUAUUUGCAUAAAGAACCAAACGGCAGGAUUUGUUUGUUUUUAAUUUUAACUCCAAAUUUUGUAAAACACAUUUGGGAAAAUAGAGUUUGGGUUCUAUGUUUACAAAGAGAAAAUGAAGAAAGAAAAGAAAGAAAAGUUGGUAUUCAAUAAUGGAAGGGAAAGCAUGUGGGUUUGUUGUAGAAGGGACUUAUUAGGGCAUGUGAAGGAAAUGCCCCACAAAAUGGUUUUAGAAGUGAAACAACAAAAAGAAGGAAUUGAAGGGGCAAUUUGGGUGACAAGUAUUAUGAUGCUCAUGUUACUCUAUUCCCAAAGGAGACAUGCCCAUGGACCAUUUGCUUCCCCAUUUCCCAUAUCUAUAUCCCUUAUUUAUCAUCUUCUUUCUUUCUAAGGUGAUUAUUUAAACACACCCAAACCCUCUUUAAUAUUUGGGUAAGCCAAAGCCUAACCAUAUAAUCAACGUCCUCACUCAACCCUAGACUUCUCUUUACAAAUGGGUUAUGGCCCAACGUUUCGUUCUUUUUUCUGCUAAGCUUUUGUUUCUGGAUCAUCCCCUCUUUAGUAGACUGUACAUUUUGUUUUUAUCUUGGAUGAGUUAUUAAUGGAGAAUUGGAUGAAUUGAUAAAAUUAUUUUACCUGAUUGAAAAUUGAGCAAAAAGUGUACUGAGAAUAAGUUUUAGAAAUACAUUGACGUGCUAGUUUAUGAUUUUCUGAUAAGUCUUGUUUUGCCUCUAAUUCUGUGUUAUUUCAUGGUUCUCAUCCGUACUGUAUUUUAAAUAGAUCAAACAUUGACAAGGGGGUCGGAUUUGCGAAAUUUUACAAACUCGUUUAUUAGAUUUUAUCCUAAUUGAAUAUGAGAUUUAUUUGAGGGAGAAAAUUGCAGCUAAUCUUUUAUAUACCAAUGAAAUUUCUAUCCCAGAAUAUUUUCAUUUAGUUACGAGACUCUUGCAAAAAUAGCAAGAAAGUUUAUGAUAAUAAGUCCCACGUCCCUACACUUUCUAAAUUGCAAAAAUAGAAAAUUUAGAAGCGGAUAGCCUUAUGAUUACUAUAUGAUAGUUCUCCGACACCUCUAUGACUAUCGUCUGAUAGUUGUAUGAUAUCAUUAAUUUUUGUCAUAUUCACAAUAUACAAAAUAUAGGUGUCAUGAUCAACGGUUUUUUUCUAAAUAUUUUUGUCAUUUGAUAUAGUUUCUCAUUAGUUAUAGUAUUAUAUCCUACUUUAAAUUGUAUCUUUAAUAAAUAUUUAUACCUUCGUUUACUUUAACAUUUCCAAUAUAUAUAUUUAACUAAUUCAUAGUAUCUAUUUUUAGUUCGAUUCGAAAAUAUAUAGUUUUAAUAAGAUUUCCCAAAUAUGUAUUUGUAGUAAGUUUUUAAAAUAGUUUUGUUUAUUUUAUUUCUUUUUAUUAAUUUAAAAAUCUAUUAAACUAAUUAUAUUUAUCUUUAAUAAAUUCUCUUUUAUUUUAGGCAUUUGCACCGGUGGCAAAAUAUAAAAUGAAAAUUAAGUUCAUGACCAAACAUUUUAAAUUUUCUAGGAAUGACAUAUUACCGAGCCCAACCCAAUUGAAAUAUUUUGAUGACCAAAAUGUCAUCAUAGUUAAAAAUGUGUAAUUGCUUUUGAUUAUCCUCUGAUUGUCAUCUUAUUACCACUAAUUAUCAAUGAUAUCGAUUACUAUUUGAUUGUUUUCUGAUUAUUGUCUGAUUGCUAUUUGAUGUACAUUAUUAUCUAAUCGUUAAUGAUACUAAUUUACCAUCUCAUUAUUCUUUAAUCUAAUAUGAUAUGAUUUACUAUCUAUUGACCUUUUUUUUAUAAUUACUAAGCAGUUUAUCGAUAAUCAUCUCAUUAUCUUUCAUCUUUUAUCAAUUAUUAAGUAGUUUCUAAUUAGCACAUAUUACCAUAUGAUUACCUUCUUUUUUGUCAAUUGCUAAGGAUUUUUUCUAUUACAUUAUGAUUUUCAUCCGAUUUUACUUUACAUUUUGUUUUGUUAAUAUGUGUUUCAAUAUCAAUGGAAGAUGAAGCAAUACAAUUUAAUGAAUUGAUUAGUAUGUUAUUACUUACCAUGAAUUAAAAGGAGCCCGAACAAGUUGGUUUUGUUUCGAAGCUAUUAAUCUACUACAUAGAUUGCAAUCUCUAACUUCUUGGAUGUUGUGACCUACAUAUAUAAGGGAUAGGUCAACAAAAACGUAAUUUAAAACAUUUUGUGAAUGCAAAUACUUAAGAAAGAUGGAAAAAUCAAUAAACGAGCACUUAUAUAAAAAGUCUAGAGUUGACGAAUUAGUACUUACACCAUAUAUGCCACCAAUGUGAAAGUCUUGACUUCUCGCAUGUUAUAGAAAUCAAUAAUAUCUUGGUACUUGGUAACGAAUGCCUGAAUCUUUGUCCAUUACCUUCUCAGCAAAUCUAAGUAUUGCCUUCAAAGGUAGUGGCAUGUUGAUAUUGGACUCACAAGUAUCUUCUUUCUCAUUAGGAACCUAAGAAAGUCAUAAAUCCAACAAUGCUAAACUACAUAAGACUUAUACAGAAACUCAUGCAUCAAAUUUUAUCAAAAGUUAACUAAUUACCUCGAUAGUAUCCUCAUGUUGAUCAUCCACAUUCACCUCCUCUUUAACCACCUUCGUUGUGACAUUCAUUUUCUCAUUUUUAGGAUUUUUUGACAUUGAAUCGUCUCAUAUUUGAAUGUUGGUUUAGAGCAAGAUCCAUGUGCAGACGUUGAUGUAGUUUGUGUUGAUAUGUGAAUACUCUCUAAUUCUUGACCCCACAAACAAUUUUUUUCAUUCUCAUGACUAACCUUCUCAAUUUCUUCACUUUGUUUCUUUGAGUGUUUUGUUGUAUGGAAGUAAGCAGUUGAGGUGACAAACCCACGUACACGUUCACUACGCUCAUGUGUACCUCAAGCUUGUGCCAAAACAUCGUUGGAAGAUGGCUCUUUGUGAACACAAGUCUUUGAGAUCUUAUCCUAAAAAUGUAAAAAAAUAUAACUUAAUUUCAUAAAACUUAAAACCUUGAAAGAAUGUAAAUUUGUAAUGUGUGUCUUACUAUACGAUUCACAACUUCUUAAACGUGUUCAUUGUCAUAUUGUCCUUCUUAUUUACACAAGUCUUCUUCCUCAUGCUAGCUCACCCAAGAUCACCUUCUUCUGAAGCUAUAUUUUUCUACAUUUCAACAUAUACAAGGCAUUAGAUUGAUUAAGAAGCCUUUAAGACUAAUUCCAACAACUUCUUAUCAAUUCCUCUCGAAGAUUAGCAUAAUAUUUUCUUGAAAGUUGAUGAAUAUAGUUAUUCUUCUUCCAUCUCUCUUAUUGAAGUUUUAUUUUGUCCUGCACAAAUAUAACAUUUUAUUAGGGUUUUAUAAAGUUUCUUAACAAAUAUUUAAAACCUAACAUCUAAAUAAAUUCAUUGAUACCUCAAAUGUGGACACAGUUUAGAUCUAACAAAUUCUUCCCACUGUCCUAGGUUAAUGUAAGAAUACAUGUCUGGGGUCGUCUCAAAAAUUUAAGUUCAUUCCUGAAUGGCAAGAUAUGCUUCGUCGUCAACCAAUGCUUAAAUUGACAAAAUAAUGUCCUUGCAGUCUUAAGAACGCUCUUUCUAGAUAUAUUGUCAAUUAUAAAUGCAGCCUGAGAUUGAAGAUUAGUUAAUGUCACAUUGUCAAUCGAAAUAAACUUCUACAAAAACUAUAAGCAAAUUUACCUUAACUAUGAUAUAGAUAUUUUCCUUCAAUUCAGUAGGCACAUUUGUCCAUGAUGCAUAGUUAAUGGUGAUGUGGUAGUGUACACACGAUCCAAUAAAAGAGUUUUUCUUCGCCCCAUUUUCUCCAAUGGGUAUGCCAUCUUCAUUAUAUUCCAACAAUUUCCUCUCACCUUCACUUCGAACACGGGUCACAUCGAAGAUAAUUGUAGGUCUCCACUUCCUUUGUUUUUUAGGCUUCUCUACAACUUGUUCAUGAACUCCUCCAACAACUAAUCCACCAACCUCCUUGUCUUUAUCAUCACUUAUUAUCUUUGGCUCCAUGUGUAAGGAGAAUUUCCUGUCAAAGCAAUAUUUAAAAGUAAUUUUUGAAUGUAGAUUAUAUUAGGCAUACUAGGCAUAUGCAAAAUAAAACAUAGCAUAUAUGUACAUAUAUAACAAGUAGAAACACACUCACAAUGUGUUGUUUAGGAAUCAAUGUUCCUUCACAGUCUGAUAGUACAUAUGUUGAGAUACUCUCAUCCAAAUCAUUACUUUCAUUGAUAUUUGGCAUAUCACUAGGCACUCCUUGACAAUGUAACAAGAUAUCUCCAAGUUUGUCAUCAUUUAAUUGAUCUUCACAAUCUCUCUGUAGUGGAGUAAGCACAAUUGACCAUCUUGCAUCACUUGGAUCUUCAACGUAAAAAACUUGCCUCGCUUGGGUUGCCAUUAUAAAUGAAUCAGACUUGUGACCUAUUCUUUCUAAAUCAACUAACACAAAAUCAAGGUCAUCGAUCUUCAUACCACUAUUGUUCUCAACCCAAUCGCAUCUAAACACUGCAACAUUGAAUGUAUUAUAGUUAAGUUCCCAUAUGUCUUGAAUCACUCCAUAAAAGGACAUAUCUCCAAUGAUGGAGUUUUUAUCUAUUGAACUGGACACUUGGAUUGUUUUCGCCACUAAACUAACACCACUAUUUGUACAUUUCGAUUCUAAUCAUAAGACUUUGUGUGAUAGCGACAUCCAUUAAUGGAAUUAUUGUUAUACUUAAUGACAAAAGGAUGAGGGUCAUGAGCAAUCCACCUCAAGUUAUCUGAAACUUCAACAUUUUCCAUCCCAAUCUCAUAUGCAACCUACCAUGAUAAGCACCUUAGCGUAAUUAUAAUGUUCACCAUAAAAAAAUAUCAAUAAAUUUAAAAUUUCACCUCUUCUCUUAACCAAGAUACGAAAGUUCGAUUGUGUUCUUGUUGUAUCCAUUUUUAUGAAGAAUCUUACUUGGGUAUUUCAAUUGCAAUACCUCCAUGUGUUUACUUGAACAUUGGAACAUUGUAACAUAAAGUUAAGUUUAUGUCAUAAAAUUAAAUAACAAACAAAAGAUAAGAUAAUUGAAACUUUAACUUACUCUAUAUACGGUUGCACAUUAAUUGUAUUUAUCAAAACAUACCAAUGAGCUUGGUAUAGAAGAUCUUGUUUAGGUUUCAAGAAAACUUCUGAAUACAAUGGUUUAUUAAAGUAUGAAUUUUCUAAAGAUGCAUUUAAUCUAUAGAUGAUGUAUAAUUCUCACAUAGUCUUUUAGAACUUUCAUGUAUCUUUCGAAGGAAUACAUGCAUCUUAGAUAUACAGACCCACAAAGUUUGACUUCUCUAGCAAUGUGCACAGUGAGAUACAUCGUAAUGGUGAAAAAUGAAGGAGGAAAAUAUUUCUGUAGCAGACACACAGUCACCAUAAUAUCUUCUUCCAACUUUUUCAGUUGUUGCACAUCGACGACGUUAUUACAUACUAAAUUGAAAAAUAUACACAACCGAGUGAUGACAUACCGAACAUGUUUUGGGAGCAUAGAUCUUAUCACAAUAGGAAACAAUUGUUGUAAGACCACGUGACAGUCAUGAGAUUUUAAACCAUUAAGUUUUAAAUCAGUCAUCGACACAAGGAUUUUAAUAUUGGAAGCAUAACCUUCAGGUACCUUUACUUCUGACAAUGUCUUCAGAACACCAUGUUUUUCAUCCUUUGUAAGAGUAUAAUGAGCAGGAGGAAUAAAUAUUUUUUUUUUCACCGUUGACAGGUGUAAGCUUUGGUCAAAUUUGCAAAUGAACUAAAUCACUUCUAGAAUUCAAACCAUCCUUUCUUUUUUUCAAGAAUAUCAAGAAACGUACCCAAUAUAUUCAUACAAACAUUUUUUUUAAUGUGCAACACAUGUAGGCAAUGUCUAACAUGAAGAUCUUUUCAAUAUGGUAGCUCAAAAAUCGAAGACACUAUGUUCCACCAACUCCCUGCAAUUCCUUUCAUAGGCUAUUUUUUUGUCUUCUUCUUUCCUCUUGGAAAUUCAAGGUCUUUUAUUCUUGAAUAUAUGGUCUCUUCAUAUAAAGGUUCUGAAAUUGUUUUAAGCUCCUUUUCACCAUUAAAUGACUUCUUUUAACGAUGAUAUGGAUGGAUGCAUGCUAGAAAUCUUUGAUGUCCAAGGUAUGACAUUUUCUUCCCAUAUUUUAAUAUUAUAGAGGACGUAUUAUCUCCACAAAUUGGACAUGCCUUGUACCCUUUCACACUACAUCCACUAAGAUUUCCAUAUGCAGGAAAUUCAUUUAUUGUCCAUAACAAAAUAGCUCUUAAAUUGAAUAGUUCUUCUUGAUUAGCAUCAUAACAUUCAAAACCACUUUUCCAUAACAGUUUUAAAUCCACAAUUAAUGGUUCUAAGUAUGUGCCAAUGUCAUCCCCUGGUUGUCUUGGACCAGAUAUCAACAUUGAUAACAUCAUGAACUUUUUUUUCAUGCACAACCAUAGUGGAAGAUUAUAAAUAACUAUCACUAUGGGCCAAAAACUAUAUUUAAAACUCAUUUCAUCGUGUGGGUUGAUUCCAUUAGCUGAUAAUGCUAAACGAAUAUUCCUAGAUUCAGAAUUAAAGUUUGGCCACUUUAAAUCUACUAAUUUUCAGGUUGGAGAGUCUGCAGGAUGUCAUAAUUUUCCAUCAACUACUUGCUCAUUAGCAUGUCAAAUCAAAUUUUUAGCAUUUUCAAUACUUCAAAACAAUCUUUUGAAACGUGGAAUCAAUGGAACGUACCAUACAAUUUUUUUAGGAAUCUGUUUUUUUUUCUUUGUUUGCAUUAUUAGCAUACUUCCAUCUUGACUCACCACAUUCAGGACAUUCAAUUGCAUUAGCAUAUUCUUUUAUACACAAACAACAAUCAUUAGGGCAUGCAUGAAUCUUUUCAUAAUUCAUUCCUAGCGCACCUAAAGUUUUCUUCACAUCAUACAUUGAUGUUGGGAUCACAUUGGUAGUAGGCAAAAUUUCCUUUACCGUUUUCAGUAGUUCUGAAAAACUAACAUCACUCCAUAAAUACCUAACUUUCAAAUUAUACAACUUGACUAAUGUGGACAAUUUGGUGAAUUUUUUGCAUCCUUUGUAUAAUGGUUUUUCGGCAUCACUAAGCAAUUUCUCAAAAUCACCUGAAUCUUUUGAAUACUCCUCAUGAGCAACUUCAAUCAUUUCAUUUAUACUUCCAACAUCAUUCUCUUCACACAUGUGGGUAUCAAACUUAGAAGAUUUUCCAUAUAAGGAUGAGUUAAGUAGUUGUUCACCAUGACAAAACCAAAAUUUAUAACUUUCAUCAAUUUCGUUGACAUAUAAGUGAUCUUUAAUAGUAGUGCGACUUUUUUUUUUCACAAUUCCCACAUUUCAAACAAGGAAACCAAAUAGAGUCAUCAUUUGUAUUAGAAAAUCCAAAAUUCAUGAAGUUUUCUACACCCAAUUCAUAAUCUUUGGACAACCUACUCUUAUGCAUCCACGAUUUAUCAAUAGGUAUGAAUCCUAAGAGAAGUUAUUGAUUAAUGGUUAUCAAUUUCAAGUAUAAUAUAAAAGAAUGCAAUAAUACAUAAAAAUAAAUGAUGAUGAUGAGAAGUUUUCUACACCCACAAAUGUAAAGAAAAUCUCAUGAUCAAUGAUGAAGCAAAUUAACUAUUUGACAAACAAAAGACAAGUAGAAAAUAUAAAUUAGUAACAUUCAAUAUCAUUAGUCAUUCUAUAACUAUUACACCACUAAUAAUAAAAAAUAUGGUUAUAAGGUCUCAUGCUAUAGAUUUAAUGUACUAAAAUAAGAAAAAAAUAUAGUUCAUGAUAUAGAAGAUGUAUUUAGUUAGGACUCAAAUUAUCAAUAUAUUAGAAUGAGUAAAAGAAAAAGGAAUGUUUUAAGUCUUCAAUUUGAAUUUGUGUAUCCAUGUCUAUCCAAAGUGUGACUUUUUGUAGAUGGAAAAUAUGUUAUCGUUCUUUUAACUUGCUUAUCCAACCAUGAUCACUGCUUCCAAGCCAUCAACCAUUCAUUUAAUAUAUAAAAAAAAAUCAUUAAUUUACUAAAGAAAAAAAUGUUUGUUACCUUAGUGAGUUUUAAGUUAUACAUGACAAAGUUAAAAGCUAACAGAGUUUUAUUCAUAUAUUAGACAAAAAAGUUUUUUUUUUUUUUUUUUUUUUUGUUAUUUAAGAAACGUAAAAUAAAACUCAUUAGUUAUAUAAUGUGAAUUUAUUAAUUGGUGAUUUAAACUCAAUGUGAAUUCAUUAAAAAAAAAAUGGAAGAAGAAGAAAAGACAAUGGAAGGGCAUUUCAAUAACUUUAAAGUUGUAUGUUUUACUUGAAUACUAAGUUUUGUUUCUUAGAAGAAAAGAAGAGACCGUGGAAGGAUAUUUCUAUACAUUUAACUCUAGCAGUGAAGGAUUUUUACACUCCCACUCUUCUAAUGUCUAUUCUAAACUCUCACGACUCAGUGGUGCAUGAACCAACGAGUGACCCUUUUGGAAUCAAGGUCAUUAACAAUUGGCGCACGAACAGACGCUGAAGAGUGGAUGAACGACCGUCGAAGCUUGAGGUGGUGGACGGGUUGUUGGAGCUUGGGCAUGGUGGAUGGGUCGUUGGACAUUGGGCGGCCGUCUGAAGCUUUUGUUGAUGGGAAUUUUUUUUUUGGGAGGGAGGGGAUUUGAAGUUAGGGGAAGAAAUCGUGGAUGGAGAAAGGAUGAGAAAAUUUUCGGGAAAAAAGUAAUUAGGGCUUUUUAGAAAUUGGAGGAAAAGAAAAUUUCGGGGAAAAAGAAGAUGGAAAAGUAUUUUUUUACAAAAUUGGAGAAAAAUGGGAAAUUUGAGGAAAAAAUUUUGUUUGUAGAAAAUUGAGAAAAAAAUAUAUUACUUAACAUUUAAAAAAUAUCAAGUAAAUAAAAUUAAUCUUAACAAAUCUGUCAAGUAUUUAAAAUUAAAAAAAAAUAUGCAUUUUUUCACUAUUGGUUAUUCUUGACGGCUUUUUUCUACUUGAUAGUUUUUAUUAAAACUGUCAAGAAUAUCAAAACUACACGCGUUAAGUAUUGUCAGCUUUGUAAUAGUAAUUUCUAUGCAGUUUCUGAUUAUUCUUCAUUUUUGUAAUCUGCAUAACAUUAUUGAUCAUCUCAUUGCCACUAUAAAAAAGGAUAAUUGGAAGCUUAACCACAACGAUAAAAUACUGAGAUAGUAUCAGGUGAUUAUCUUCUAAUUUUUACUUCAUUAAUGUUUUUUCAAUUUUAAACAGCUUUCUAAAAUAGACAUUUGAUUGUUACAUUCUACUUUUAUUUUUUUUCCAUUUUAGUUAGCCUUUUGAAAUAAUCAUUUAAUUUGAUUACCUUUUGAUUGUCAUCUAAUUACCUUUUGAUUGUCACCUAAUUACAUUCUAAUUGACGUCUAAUUACCUUCUGAUUGUCACAAAAUUCCAAGUCCAACAAACUACAUCAGAGCUCCACAUGAUACAUGAUUCUCUUUUUCCUUGUUUGUAUUCAAAGGCAGCAAAAUCCGAUUAGGAACUCCCUCCUCUGCUAUCAUGUUGCCGCUCUCUGACAACAUGAAUGGAGUAACCAAAGAUAAAUAAGAAUUUUAGAGUCACAAAGAACUAACAGAAUAGAGUUUCAGACUUCAAUCUCAAUUUUGUUCUUAAGUACCCAAAGCAAGCCCAUCACCUCGAUCUAAACCUUAACGGCGCCACCAAAAUCCUCAUUUCUUUUUAGAUUCUUUGAGUCGUCACCAAUUCUUCAAACAACUGGUACCGGAUUCUUCAAGUGGAGUCAUUCACUCACACCAACACUGUGAAACCCCAAAAUCUUUAAUUCUUGGAUUUUGUUAAGGAUAAGAGAAAAUAAGAUUUAAGGGAAAAAGGAAGUUAAAAUAGUUGGAAAGAUUAAGGUUUAAGUUUAAGAGAGAGAGAAAAGUUUGAAAUUUAUGUUCAAGUCAAAGUUAAGAAAAUAUGGACAAAUUGGUUAAGUAUCAAAGAAUGGCACAUUGGGCAUUUAGAGGUUAAUGUUGGGCGGCCGAAGAGGCCAUAUAACCUCUAAAUGAUGUUUGUUGGGCGGCCAAGGGAAGGGAAAGAACCUCUAAAGAGGUUAGAUUGCAUUUAAGGUUGGGUGUUUUAGGUAAUACAUUGCGUUUGGAUGUUAUUUUUGGCUUAUGGCUAGGCGAGAAGAAACCCCAAAUGAGUGUCUUUGGGCAAGAAGGGUGUUAUGCAAGAAGACUUAAACGUUAGUAAGGGACUUUCUGCAUUUAAGGUUGGCGAGAAAGAAAGAUUUAGAGGUUAUCUAAGUGUUUGGAUGGUUUUGUGAGAAGGCUUAAGAGGUUAAUGUCGGAGAGAAGAAAGGCUAUGCGAGAUGGGUAAGAGGUUAGCUAUGUGUUUUGGACAUGCACGUGGCAAGCUUAAAAAAAGAGGUUUAAAGAUAUUAUUAAAAUGAAUUUUGAGAUGGAAAGGUAGCUUGAGGUGUCUUGAGGAGGUUUAAUGGUGGAUUAAGCUAGGUUGAGGUGUCCAGAUAAUUUCAUGCAAGGUUUUCUAUAAAUAGCUAACUUCAGUAUAAAGUUUAAUUCUCACAACUCACUUAGACAUUUUCACUCAAAUUGGUCUUGAAAGUUCAUAAAUUGUGUCUAGUUUGUGAAUAAGGGCUACUGUGCAUUUUGGAUUCAAGAAGGUUUCCGUUUUGAUUAAGAGAAUGUGAGAAGGUCAUUUCUCUAGUCAAUUUGAGCAAGGUGCUUUCCAUGUGAGCUACAAGACUCGUCUUUUGAAACUUGAUUCAGAAAGUUUGAGGUAAGAAAGUUAAGUCAUUUUAAAGCAACUUUAUAGAAGGAAGUUUUAUAAAAAGCAUUAUGAAUUUUAAGUUAUGAUUUUUCAAAGUCGGGUCAUGUAUUUUGGACGAAAAAUGAUGUUUUGGGAAGUAGGUCAGUGUCGUGCAUGCUAGGUGAGAUGGGUUUGGCAUUUUGAUCAUAAAGGUUAUUUUAUGUCGUUGUGAGGUCUGCAGCAAGGUCAUCACACAAUAGAACGACAAGGCAUGCACUCAGGCUGCGUGCUUGACUUGUGAAAGAAGGUUAGUAGAUGGCAAGUUGGGCGCACAGUACCACACAGACAAGAACACGCGGUGGGCGUGAUGUGCGGCCUGUUGGGAUUUAUAUCCUCAAACCCAUAGAUUGUAAAUAUAAUCCAUUAAUUGAUCGUUAUUAAUAAAGUUUUAUUACUAUAAUUUCAACAAAUGUUAUUGACUAUAUUAUUAAUUUUGUCUUAAUAACCCAAAUCUAAUUAACUAACAUCCUAAGCUAUUUGAUGAGUCUUGAACAGUAUGUAAAGACAUAUAGGGAUCAAUGUUCGAGAUCAUCCUAAAGGGUCUAUAGUGCCCCUCUAAUGACAUAUGGGUGAGAGUGGCCAGAUUGCUGACUCAAUAUGCUUAUCAUUUUGGAGACAAGACCGAGCGGGAAGCUGGAAACAUAAUCACACAAGAUGGAAUUCACUCUUUAACUAUUUUAGGGUAAGUAUAUAAUAUUUUAUCUCUUAUACUAAUUCUCAAAGGAAUUUGAACAUUUCAAAUUACAACCAAUUACGAGCUAGGAAGGGGACCUAAUGGAUCUACGAAUCAGAAGCUACAAUGAUAUAAGAUUAAUUGACUAAACUCAUUACCCACAUUAAUGAAUAUUCGUUAACUGUGUACACACUCUACUAAAGACUCACAGAUGAACUCUUCACACUGUAGAUAUAUUUAUGUGUCCACGAUAUAGGCCAAUAAUAGUAUGUUAGUCCUUCAUGAGUGUUCGUAACCCCAACUCGGUCAAAUUAUCGUUUUACCCCUAAGCUACCUCUAGUCCUUAAAUAUCAGUGUCCUUCUAAUGAACAAUAUGUUUAUGGUCCAACCAAUAAAAAAAAAACCUUCUAGUGUCAUAGAGAGGGUAGGACCCUUUGCUCAACUCCUAAAGAAACCAUUUAAGCGAACACUCAUUUACUUACUAUUAAGUAGGGAAUGAUUGAAUGCUAUCUUGUGUGAUUAUAUUCCCAACUCCCCACUCGGUCUUAUCCCUAAAAUGAUAAGCAUAUUGAGUCGAUGAUCUGACCACUCUCACACGUACAAAUCAAAGGACAACCCCUCACAAAUAGGAGUUCAUAAUACAUUCAGGACCCCCUUUUAUCGCGGAAAUCUUGAGAAGAUAUGCUAAACUUUAAUAUUUUCAAUCCUUUUGUUUAAAAUUUUAAUUAUGCCAUAUGUAAUUUUUUAUUUUUUUGUACUUAUGUUAUUUUCAAUACAAGUCACAGUUUGUGAUAUAAUUCUUCUGUGUUUAAUCUUUCUUGUCGAAAUCUUGGCUCCCCAUAUUUUAGUAUUCUAAUUUUUCUUUGUGUUUCAGUGAUACUUCAAUGAAAUAAAUUAUGAGAAAUAAAGUUUCACUUUUUAUUUAGGCGUUUAACUUGUUAAGGAACCUUACUUAGGAAACAUUUUUAGAGUUUAUUAAGCGAGCAAGCUUUACCUCAAGCCAAUGGCAUAUCCAUAAAUUUUAUCUAGGGGCACAAGGCAUUAUAUAAUAAACACACUAAAAAAUAUUGCGACGUUUCACUGAUGCUCCGAUAACAUUCACUACAUUUAUAACAAUAAAGAAAUAUUGGCAAUUUUCACAUGAUUUUUUGUAAUGCAAAUAUGUGAAUUUAAAAUUAUCAUCAAAAAAAGAAAAGAAAAAAAAAAAAAAAGAUUAAUAUCUUUUGCCUCGAAUAUUGUUGAGAGAGCGGAAGUUUGAAUCACUUACUUUUUUCAUUUUUUAAAAAUUUUUUUGUUAGAUGACAAAUGAGAGCUAGAAAAUAAGUUAGGGUUUUAUCUUUAGAUGACAUUUUUUUUCCUUCUUUUAAAAAAUUAGGAAAUAAUUGAAAUUUAAAUUUAGGAAAUAAUUGAAAUUUAGGAAGAAAUUUGAUAUUUGAAAAAAUAAAAUUAUUGAUAUUUGAGAAAAUAAAAUUAUUGAUAUUUGAGACAAUAAAAUUAAUGAUGUUUGGAAUAAAAAAUAUUUUGUGAGAAUUUACGAAGAAAUUUGAUAUUUGAGGAAAGAAAAUUAUUGAUAUUUAGAUUAAAAACUAUUUCGUAAAAAUAAUUGUAGCAAGCGAGAUUUGAACUCACAACUAAGGGGUGGUGUAGGAGGGGCACAACCAUUACAACAGAAGUAGAAAUUAGGCAAAAUAAAGCUAAAUUUAAUAUAUAUUGUAAAUUAACAGUUAAAAAUUAAUAUUAAAAUGCAAAAACCGAUAAUGUAAGGGGGCACGUGCCCCCCGUGGCCCCUUAAUGGAUCCACCCUUGCCUCAAACCUCUUUUGUAAUACUUUUUUGUGAAUAAUCUUAUCAUUCACUUUUAGAAUGACAUUGCUAAUCUUUAAAUUUAGAGGUGUGCGAGGUUCGUGCUAAAGCUUUUGAAACCUUUUGGAAAUCAUCUUAAGGAGUUUUAAUAAAAGUUGAAACAAAGCCAAAAAGGUUAAUUUUUUUAAAACAAAAUUGUAUUCAAUCACAAUAACAACUCCUAUGUCGCCUCCACUCACAAAAAUAAGAAGCAUAACUUUAAAAGUAAAAAUCAAAGAGUGGGUAAUAAGAUAUGGUAAGCGUUAUAGUUGAGGAGAGAAACAGACACAUGGAGUGACUAUGAUUUUCACUCAACGUUAUCUAGUGAAUAAAAAGCUCAUUAAAAAGUAUUCUUUCGCUAAUAAAAGGAUUAAAAAAAUUUUUUGGAAAUUUCAGCCAUUUUUUAUUUUUAAAAUAUGACUUAUUGUGGGGAGUGAACAAAGGUAUUUUGAGUAUGAAGCUUGCCAAGUUGUGAACUUAGAAAUAUUUUCUCAGAAAGAACUACGCGAUGAGAGUAAAUCCUAAAUAAGAAAUAAAACUUGCUCACAUUUUGAGAAGUUUAGAAAUGCAAAGAGAAAAGUGAGCUUUUAAGGAGGAAUGACGUUUGAGGAAAAGCAUAAUGCAGUGAUGCUUCAGGACAAGCAUUAUUUUAAAUUUCGAGGUGUGAUAACGUGUAUAUAUACCUGUUAUUAUAACAUCUUUUAUAAGAAUGUGUAACUUAUGUUUAAAUACAUCUUACAUCAGCAUUAUGUCUGUUUUACGCGAUUGUCAUAUCCAAAUGCAAGAUGAGUAGAAAUGAUGAAAUUAAGUGAAUCGAAGGGGACAUCUCACGCAAAGUCUAUGCGAUGGAAACUCAUUUGGCAAUUAACAUCUCAAAGAAGAGAAACCACGUCAUCACACGAGGAAGGUUCGCUAGAAGAUAAGAAUGGUAAUUGGUGUUGAUCAUGUGACUUCGUAGGGCUACAAUCGGUGCUGACAAUCUCAGAAGAAUAGAAGUUUUUCGUUGAAAGCUGCCUAUUAAAAGACUUUAUCCCCACCAAGAAAAGUAGGCAUAUAUGGGCCAAAGGCCUGAAUAGGCCAAUCCUUAGAGAGCGGCGAAAAAGAAUAGUGUGUCCGUCGUCUGUAAAAGUUUUCUUCUUCUUCCUCGAUUAGUUGUAAAAGUGAGAGCUAGGAGAAAGUCCUUUCUUGAUCUCUAACGUUCAACUUAGGACCCGAGUAAUAUGAGUAAUUUAAUUUUAACGCUUAGACUCAAAGGACAUUUAAAAACUCGAAAAAAAAACUUGCUUAAAUUACUCCAACACUUACCCAAGCAAUUAGCAAAGUAGCCUUAAUCCCAAUGGACAAUCCUCUAACAACCUUCAACUUCAAAACCUAGCAUCCAGAAACCGUGAGUUGUUCAAUAUUAGCGUUAAACUUAAAUGGGUACUCGAGACCAACUCCAUAAAGCUUAUAAUCUUACCCAAAUUUGUCUAAACCGACCUUAACCAUGUUGAUCAAUGCUUCCAAGUUCUCUAAAUCUUCAAUUCUUCAUACAAAUAAUAAUAUGCGUAAAAUCAAGUAGACACUCAAACUAAAUGGGUAUUUAAGAACUAUGAGAUAACCCACUAAAUUUAUCUAAGAUCUUGUCAAUACCUCAUCGAAAUCGCCUUGGCAACACAUUAACGACUUCCUAGAUUCAAAACUAGUACUUACAACCAUUUUAUCGACCAAGUCCUCUUGAAGCUUGUAAUCCCACCAGGUGAACAAAGAAUGGUUUGAAAUCUUUAAUUCCUAAAAUCUAAGCUUUCUCAAAUCUUUAACGACUAUUGUAAAUGUCUUUUUUAUCCACACUCAAGUUUAAAGAAUUAAAGACAGUUCGUAACUUCUAAUUCGAGCCUCUUUUCCAAAAGAGAUGCAAAAUAAAAGUCACACCAUAACUAAAUAUGCAAGCCUAUGAUGUUGAUCUAUGUUAGAAGAUAAACUUUAUCUAAAAAAAAAGGAAAAUAAAUGAACAUGAUUAAAGAUAGAUAGACAGAUAAACAAAUAAGAAUAAUCCUUCAACCACUUUAAUUAAAUCAAAUAUGAUCAAGUCAAAAUAAGAUCUGACCUUUACGAGUUAUGGAUAUUUUGAUCUAGAUUCCUUAUAGAGGGUUGUGAGUAAUCUUACUUAAAAUGUAGUCGCCAUCAUAAAUUUGAAUGUCUAGAGUUGCUUUUGAAGCAGGUCGUCGAAGAGGGAGGAUUGUUGAGCAUUGUUCAUUAAAGCAUGUGGCGUGCUCAUAAACGAGAACGGUGCCACCGCAUGUUUUAGGACACAUAAGGAGUGGCUGCGUUGUUAGAGGAGAAAGUACAAGAAGAAAAAAUGGAGUGGCUCGACAAGAGAGUGAGAGAGAGUUUCGUGUGUGUCGUCGUCAACAAGUCACGAUGUUUCGAACGUAGAUAAGAGCGAUGCAAGUGGGCGUGUCAUCGUUGGCAAUGUGUCACUGUGUGUGAGAGAGAUCGUCAAAAGAAGAGAAUUUUCAAAUAGGAAGAGGGGUGGUCGGUCCCUAGAAGAGUCAAGAAGGAGAAGAGAAAAAGAUAAUAUUCCAUUUUUCUUUCUUUUUUCUUUUUUCUUUUAUUUUUAACUUUACCAAUAAUAAAAAAUUUUAAGAAAAGACCGUUGCGUCCCUCACUCCAUAUUAAACUUACCUUUUUGCCCUUAUCUUCAUCCUUUUUCAAAACUGAAUAAAAUUUUCACUUAUUCUAAACUAAAUUUAUUCCAAUUUUCUUCUCACAAUAACUUAACUUUUAGAGAACUUAAAAAAAUUGGAUUCCUACUUGUUUUUCACAAAUUAUAAGAUAUUAAAAGAAAUAAAAGGAAAAAUGAAUAAGGGCUUAUACCUGUGGAUCAUGUCUUCUUAAUAUUUCAAAUAUUAUGUUAUAAAAUGACUAUUUAUGGAUAAAUGUUAUUUAAGCUUCAAAACUUGUUUUUUUUAUGCAUAUGACCCACUAAUAUUUAUCUUAUUCUCAAUCUAUAUCAUGUUUAUGUUUAUUAUUUUUAUAUUUUUAUAUAUAAUAUGAAAAUAGACUCCGAUACGAACCCAAAAAUCAUCUAAAUUGGAGUUCAAAGGAAGGAGACAAAAAUCAAGGGUAAUUUGGUAGUUAAUGAAAAUAAAAACGACGUCGUUUUGAAGACUUCCCUAACGCACGUGCUCCAUCUCAACGUCUCCCAUUCGACUCUCACAAGCAACAAUUAAAAUCAGGACUUGUACAAGCCAAUACGACGUCAUUUAGGCCCAUACUCGCGCGCGCGUCCUCCCGGUCGCGAGAUCGAAAUCCCCUGAAGAAAAAUUUUCAAAAUCUUCAAUCCGCGCGCGCUUUCAUCCGUCUUCCCCACUCUUCGUGCGAAACGUGGUGCGUUAUGGUCGUAAUGCACGCGUUUUUGGGCCUUGAGGUGAUGAGUUCGAGCAGAAGAGGUAGUUAUCUCAAUUACUUUCUAUAAACAUCUAAUAAUCCCUAAUUACACAAUCAAUUCACUAUUUUUUUUGGCAAAAUUACCCCAAAUUCACCAAAUUCCUUCUAAAUUCCAUAAUCUUUAGCCUCGUUCUAUCAUUUUUUCCUCAUCAUUUAAAAUUCCAGCAAUCUUCACGAUGAAGGACUAAAAUCCUUGAGAUAAGUGGUUUAGAUUAAUUCAUUAUUUGAGAAUUUGUCUUCUUUAAUUUCUCAUCUAAUUAGGGUUUGAUUCAAUCUUUGUUUUGAUGUAAAUUUGUUUGGAAUUCACACCUUUUUUUUCUCAAAAAAUAAACCCUUGUAUCAAUUGCUAUAAUUCUAAGCAAAUUCUUUCUUGAUUCUAGAUGAUUAAUUUUUGUAUGCAAAAUACUUAAUGUAAGAUUAAUUGAAUUCCUUUUAUUUACACAAAAAUUUACUUCUGGAUUGUUUUUCAUCCAUUCUUCAAAUUGAAGGUUGUUCGAUGAAUUCCUUCUUGUCAGAUUUUUAGAAAUUAAUUUUAUUUUUUUGUGACCACAAUUAAUUUUCUAAUUAAUUCAUUGAUUCCAAAAGUAUCAAUGAACUUGUAAUUUUGUUUGAUGAACAAGUUAGGAACUUUAGUUAAUAUUGUAAAAAUUAAACUAACCUCCUAUGAAAAUCAUCUCUUUUCUUGAACUUUGAUCUUCACAAGAAUAUUGAAUAAUAAAUCUCCUCCUAAUUAAACAUGAUUCAAUUCUUAAUCAUCUUUGAUACAAUGAUAAAAAUAGAUUAAUUAAAGGGUCCUACCCUCUCUAUGAUACGAGAGGGGUUUAUGUUUAGUGGUUGAAACAUAAACAAAUUGUUCGUUAGAUGGACCACUAGUAUUUAAGGACUAGAAGUAACCUAGGGGUAAAAGAUAAUUUGACUGACCUGAUGCUACGAACACUUGUGAAUGACUAACUUACUUUUAUUGAUCUAUAUCCAUGGACACAGAAAUAUAUAGAGAAUGAGAAGAGUUUAGCUGUGAGUCUUUAGUGGAGUUUACACAUAGUUAAUGAAUAUUGAUUAAUGUGGUUAAUGAGUUUAGCAAAUUAAUCUCAUAUCGUUGUAGCUUUUGAAUCUAUAGAUCCAUUCUCCCUUCUAGCUUGUAAAGGGUAACGUGAUUUAUUUAUAUUGGUUGUAAUUUGAAUGAAAAUUAAUAUAAUGUAUGGUUAUACAUUAAUAUAAAGUCAAUAUAUUUUAAUUAAAUUUUAUUAUAUAAAUUUAAUUUUGGAUAUGAUUCAAAAUUAACAUAUGAAACAAUAAUAUAAUUAAAUGAGUUUAAAUAUUAAUUUAAUGUGAAUUAGAUUCAUAUUAAAAUUAUAGGUUAAAAUUUAAUACGUAUAUGAUAAACAUUAAAACUAUAAGUUAUAAUAGAAAUUUAUAUUUGAAUAUAAUUUAAAUAUUAAUUAAAUUAAAUAUAAGAUGUUUAAUUUAUAAUUAAUGAUUUAGUUUAAUUUUAUUUAAUUAAAUUAAUUAAACUAAAACUAUAGGUUAAAUGAGAAAUUUAUUUAAAUAUGAUUUAAAUGAAAUAUUAAUUAAUCAUUUAUCUAUUUUAAUAUUAAUUUAAUUUAAUUUUUUAAAUUAAUAGCGAAUUUGGGUGGUUUUUCCACGAUCACAUAUUCUUUUUAACUUCCUUCGGUCUGAAAAAGAGGAAGUUGCAUGUACGGCAAAAAGAAUAGAGUUGUUUUACAAAUAUUUUAUGUCUGCAUUUUUUUUUUUUUUUUUUUUUUUGCAUAUUUUCUCAUAAGAAAAUCCUCUAUAAAUUUGUCCUUCCAAUUUUUGGUUCCCACAGACCAAGAUCUCUAGCUCAAACAAUAAGAAGGUUUCCAAGUAGAGGUGGUACUCCGAUUUGGUGAUUGGUAGAUACAGAGACUUCAACAAACACAAGUUCUUUAUUUCUUCUCUGUAAUUCUUUUAGAAGGGUGCUUAGUCUUACAGUAAUUUAAGUUUAUGUAUUUUUUUUGCCACUCUAAUGAUAUUUUUAGAUUCCUAAUUAAUUUGAGUUUAGGUUAAGUUAAAUAUUCCGCUGCUAGGGUUCUUAUUUGGUUCUUAUUCUUUCAGCGUGUGUAAUUUUUUUUCUAAACAAUCAUGAUACGCAAUCGUGUAGGAAAUUAUACACAAUCAUUUAGGAGCUUUUGCAAAAAUAGCAAAAAAGUUUAUGAUAAUAGAGUUUAUGUCACAACAUUUUCUAAAUUUGCAAAAGUAGCAAAUUUAAAAGCGAUAACUCUCUAAUAGCAUUCUGAUAACCGUUUGAUAUCAUUAUUUACUUGUCAUAUUCACAAUAUGCAAAAAAGAUGUGUUAUAGACUGUUUUUUUCUUUUUGUUAUUGAUGAAUAUUACGAGGAAUAUGCUGGAUAUUAUUAUUUUGUUAUUGGAUUUAUGUAAUACAAUGGUAAAUAUACACUAAAUUGAGCAACCUAUAAGGAAAGGAUCAAUAUAUUCUAAUUACAAUAAUAUACUCCUAGAUUAUUGCUAAAUGGCCCUAAUUACGGUGAUACCCUCCCUCAAACUCAAGUUGGUAGAGUAGAAACCACCUUGAGUUUGUGAAGUAAUAGAGUGAAACGAGGAGAAUGGAGAGCUUUGGUGAAGAUAUCUGCAGGUUGAUCAAUGGUAGAGAUAGAUUGAAGAUGGAGAGUGUUGCUUUGAAGAUGAUGACGGACAAAAUGACAAUCGUUCUCUAUGUGCUUUGUUCGUUCAUGAAAUACAUCAUUGUGUGCAAUCUGAAUGGCACUGCGGUUAUCACAAUGGAGAGUAGUAGAUGAUGUAUGUGGGGCUCCCAUAUCAGUAAGUACCCAACGAAGCCAUAAUAAUUCUGAAGUGGCAUCAGCUAGAGCACGAUAUUCAAACUCAGUGCUAGAACGGGAAACAACAUAUUGUUUCUUGCUGCGCCAGGAGAUAAGAGCAUCACCUAAAUAAAAACAAUAGCCAGUGGUGGAUCUUCUAUCAGUAGGAUCUCCUGCCCAAUCAGCAUCAGAGAAUCCAAAGAGAACCAGAGAAGACUGUGAGGAGAAGUGGAGACCAUGACCCAAAGUGUCUUUAAUGUAGCGAAGAAUCCGAAGAACAGCAGUGAAGUGAAUAGUACGAGGAGCGGCCAUGAAUUGACUAACUAUGUGAACUGCAAACGCAAUAUCAGGGCGAGUUAUAGUUAAGUAAAUCAAGCUACCAACAAGUUGCCGGUACAAAGUAGGAUCGUCAAGGGAAACACCAUCAAAAGGAGUAAGUCGAACAUUUGGAUCCAGAGGUGUUGAGGAUGUUGUAGAAUCAGUAAUACCAGAUCGACUGAGUAGGUCAGAAGCAUAUUUAGCUUGAGAUAAGUAAUAACCAUCAGACACGGAGGUGAUCUCAAGGCCAAGGAAAUAAUUGAGAGGUCCUAAAUCAUUCAUCUCAAAGUGCUUUCCCAGGCAGCAUUGCAAUUCAGAUAUAGCUUGAGGGUCAUCACCUGUAAUACUCAUGUCAUCAACAUAUAAAAGAAUGAGUACAAUACCAUUAAGUGUCUGGCGGGUGAACAAGGCUGAAUCAUGAGGGCUGGAAGUGAACCCAAGUUGAGUAAUAGUGGAGCUAAAAGUUGUAAAUCAGGCUCGAAGAGUAACAUUUUCUCAAUUUGCAAAAGUAGCAAGUUGAGUAACAUUUUCUAAAUUUGCAAAAGUAGCAAAUUUAAAAGCGAUAACUCUCUAAUAGCUCUCUAAUAGCAUUCUGAUAACCGUUUGAUAUCAUUAUUUACUUGUCAUAUUCACAAUAUGCAAAAAAGAUGUGUUAUAGACUGUUUUUUUCUUUUUGUUAUUGAUGAAUAUUACGAGGAAUAUGCUGGAUAUUAUUAUUUUGUUAUUGGAUUUAUGUAAUACAAUGGUAAAUAUACACUAAAUUGAGCAACCUAUAAGGAAAGGAUCAAUAUAUUCUAAUUACAAUAAUAUACUCCUAGAUUAUUGCUAAAUGACCCUAAUUAGGGUGAUAGUUAUUUUAUACCAUUUUUCUUAAUUUUAAGUAAAUUACCAAAAAAAAAAAGGGAAGGAAAAGAAAAGAAAUUACAUGGUAACCAUGCUUACGCGAGCACUGGAGAAACAAAAGAGCAGCAAAAUUUAGUAGGAAACAAUGGGUAAUGGAGAGGUUUUAGAAUGGUGAGAAAUGACCGACAAUCAAACGCGACGCUGCUUCCUCCCAUUCUCCCAUCACAUUGUCCCACUACCACCAUUCUUUUUCUUUCUUCAGCUUUGCCUAAGAUUUCAUGCCGGUACGGGUCCUCCCUAUUUUCCUCUCUACUUCACUCUUUCCCUUUUUUUUUUCUUAUUAUUAUUUCACCGCACACACACCUCUAAUCCUUCAAUAUAUAAUAAUGUAUUACUAUACACAUUUCUGUAAUACAACGACUAUACAAGUGAUGACACGUACAUGAGAAUUUGAGAUGAAGUAUAUACUGAUUAUCAUUUACUUUAUUGACCAUAGAACCCAUGGGGUUGUCGGUUGAAUGAUAGCUGGGUAAAUUUUUUAAUUUAGUUUUAGGGUCUGAAGGGGUUUUAAUUAUUUAUUGGAAGGGAAAGUGGGAUGGUGGAUUAUAUUAUUGUUAUAUUAAUUAAGAUAGGCUUAAGAAACAAAGUAAUACAUGUGUUGAGACUUAGUGUAUAUACAUUUCCACGUUUCAUUCCUUCUCAAAAAGUCUAUAAAUAUCUUUGCACCUGUUUGCAGUACACAUCCUCUCAUUACUCGUUUGUAAACAUUCAAAUUGGUCUCUGAUCACUCAAAACGCUUAUUCCAAUCUUUCUUUGUAAUUGCUUCAAAACGGUUAGCUAAUUUUGCCUUUUCAUUCUUAAUUCCAUCCUUCCUAAAAAACAUAUAUAUCCAUCCCUCCAUCCAAACUGCUUUUUUUUUUGCCCUGGAUAAAAAGAAAUUAAAUAAAAUAAAUGGGGUUAUUGUCUAGAAAAGCCACGUGUAACUUGCACGGCCAAGAUUCGUCUUACUUCUCAGGAUGGGAAGAAUAUGAGAAGAAUCCUUACGAUGAGAUUCAAAAUCCUAAAGGGAUUAUUCAAAUGGGUCUGGCAGAAAAUCAGGUCAGUAAUAAUAAUCUAUAUGUGUGAGAGUAUUAGAAAUCAAUAAUUUGUUUUAUUGUAAAUAUAAAUAUUUAUCUUUUCAUUAUGGGUAACGAGAGAAUGAAACUUUGAUUUGCAAUGGUGACAUGCAGUUAUGUUUUGAUGUGGUGGAGAAGUGGCUGGAGGAGAACCCAAAUUCGGCUGGUUUUAAGAGAGAUGGAAAGUCCAUUUUUAGACAACUUGCUCUUUUUCAAGACUACAAUGGCUUGCCUGCAUUCAAAAAGGUACAGAAUAAUACAUUACUUAUAUUCUUCUUUAAUUGUUUUUGUAUAAUAUUAUGUAAAGUUAAGUUUAUGACAUCAGUCUUUGGGAGAUCACCAUGCAAUUUAACGAUAAUGAAUAAUAAUGUUUCAGGCAUUAGCAGAGUUCAUGUCGGAAAUUAGAGGGAACAAAGUAGCGUUUGAUCCCAACCACAUAGUCCUGACUGCUGGUGCCACCUCAGCUAACGAGACUCUUAUGUUCUGCUUGGCUGAACCUGGCGACGCCUUUCUUCUACCAACUCCCUACUAUCCAGGGUACGUUUCAAUUUCAUAAUUUCUAUUAAAGAAAAAUAAACAAAUAUUAUCUGCAUUUGGCAACUGUCCCUCACCUUGGUCUUUGCUUUUAUUCAAUGUAAUAUACAGAUUCGAUAGAGACUUGAAAUGGAGAACUGGAAUUGAGAUCGUACCCAUCCACUGCUCCAGCUCCAAUGGCUUCAAAAUAACAGAAUCAGCAUUGUUAGAAGCCUACCAAAACGCCUUAAAUUGUAACCUCAAAGUCAAAGGCGUACUUGUUACGAACCCAUCGAACCCAUUAGGAACCACAAUCAGUAGUCACGAACUCAACCUCCUACUUCAAUUCAUCGAAUCAAAAAACCUCCAUCUAAUCAGCGACGAGAUUUACUCUGGCACAGCUUUCCGAAACUCGGGUUUUGUCAGUGCCAUGGAAAUCCUUAACCAAACAUACAAACACAACCACCAAAUCCAAAAUCAAGUUCACAUUGUUUACAGCCUCUCCAAAGAUCUUGGCCUGCCCGGGUUCCGAGUCGGAGCCUUAUAUUCGAAUGACAAAGUAGUAGUGGCUGCAGCGACAAAGAUGUCGAGCUUUGGAUUGGUUUCGUCACAAACGCAGUACCUUCUGUCGGCGAUGUUGUCAGACAAGAAGUUUAGGAGGAAGUACAUUAGAAAGAACCAAAAGAGGUUGGAGAAAAGACAGACAAUGCUGGUGAAUGGGCUGGAGAAGGCGGGGAUUAAGUGCCACAAAGGGAAUGCAGGGCUUUUUUGCUGGGUGGAUAUGAGGCAUUUGUUGGGAGGCAAUACGUUUGAGUCAGAAAUGGAGCUUUGGAGGAAGAUUCUAUUCGAGGUGCGCUUGAACGUGUCACCCGGACAGUCAUGCCAUUGCUCCGAACCAGGUUGGUUUCGCAUUUGUUUUGCCAACAUGUCUGAACCAACUUUGGAUCUUGCAAUGCAGAGAUUGAAGGCUUUUGUUGUCAACUACUCCACCACAAUUACGGUAACUUCUCCGCAGAUGUGACCCUGGUAUACUAGUUCUGUAACGACAGUAGCAACUCUUCCUUCAAAUCAACUCGAAUCGAAGAGAAAGACAGUGGCUAAAUGGGUUUUUCAGUUAUCGGUUCAAGAUCGCGCUAGUGAACCACGUUAUCGAUAGCUUGCUGCAGACAUAUUUUACCCAUUUACUUCGUUGUUUUACCUCUUUGUACUCUUGUUUUUGUUAUCAUCAUUAUUUUUUCUUCCAACUUCUCAAUGGAGGAGGAAUUGGAAUCUCUUCAUGUAAAAAAGAAAUACGUGCACUCGAUCCAUCUGGAUUUGUAGUGGUGUCUUGUAAUUCAUCUCAAGUUUCCAUACAUUGUUUAAUAUAAAAUACAUUGUUUUUAGUGGUUUUUUAAGCAAUACAGUUCCCAAAAAUAUUUACACGUUAUAUAGAACAAUUUUAGAAAAAGAAAAAGUUCACAAGCCCACAACGUGAAAUAACAAAAUACCUCCACGAUUAAUUAGUCACACACGUGUGAAAAACUGAUUUUUAUCCAGUCGAAACGAUCUCAUAGUAAGUCCAAAUGACAUUGUACAUUUGUAUCAAGUCUAAACAAUCUUAUACCCAUGUACAAGUCUACAUGAUAUUGUAGCAAGUCUAAACAAUCUUGUACUAAGUCUAAACGAUCUUAUAUUCUUGUACCUUGCCUAAACGAGAUCAUAUACCCUUGUACCUAAUCUAAACGAUCUCAUAGCAAGUCUAAACAGUAUUGUACCCUUAUACCCAGUCUAAACGAUUUUGCACCUAGUUUUAACGACCUUGUACUUAGACUAAACAAUCUUGUACCAAAUAUAAACGAUCUUGUAGUGACAGUGAUCUAUCUAUGUCUAUCUAUGAUAAGCAACUGAUCGUUUAGACAAUGGUACACAAUCGUGUGCAUCUCUUACCAAUAUCAUUUAGAUCUUGUACGAAAAAGAAAAAAAGAAGAUGAGAAAUGAAGAAGGAAGAAAUUCUGAAAGAGAAAAUAAAGAAAUUGGUAAAUAUUUACAUAAAUAACCAUAAUAUUGUAAAAUGAAGAAGAAGUAUUAAUAUGAGAAAUUAAUAAUAUGAAAAGAUAAUGAAUAAAUCAGAAAGAGUACGAAGAAAAAGAAGUGAAAAAUUGUUCACAAUAUUCAAGGGAAAACUUGGAAUUUAUGACAAUAUCAUGGACUUUUUUAUUGUUACACGGACCGUAAAUAUUUUGGUGUUUUGUUUUAGGGUAAUCGUAAUGGAUGACCAUUUGAGGAAUAAUAAUUAAGGAUAUAACAACAUUUUAAAAAAAUUGCAAAUAUAGCAAAACUAUUGCUGAUAGACUUGUAUCGCUGAUAGACUCGUGUGGUCUAUCGGUGAUAGAUCGAUAUUUAUAACAUGGUCUAUAAGUGAUAGACUUCUAUUAUUAAUAGAAUUCGACAAAUUUUGCUAUAUUUGCAAAUUUUUUAAAAUGUUGCUAUAUACUUAAUUAUUUUGAAUUUAAUUGCUAAAUUUGCAACUACCCAUAUAUAUCCUACAAGAAAAAGAAAAAGGAAAUUAUAAUGAUAAAUAUUAUUGUUUGAGUUUAUAAAUAGCCCUAGAAUGCUUAUGGAUAAAAGAAACAGAAAAAGAAAAGGUUAUUCAUCUUGGAAUGGAUCAUUUUGGUUGUAUGCCUUUGUGGAAAGUCCUUUUGACAAAUCUUGAAAAUUUAAAUGACAAAUUUUUUCCAUCAAGAAUAAAUUGGUUUCAACCUUAACUUUGAAUAAAUUAAUUUAAGAGAAUUUUUGGAUGAAAUCAAAUGGUUAAUUUUAUUAAUUAAGAUAUUGAAUUUUUCUUUUAUGAUUCAGAUUGAAUUAAUUGAAGAAUUUUUACUAUUAGCAAAUGAAUAUUUUUAGCUAAUCCCAGAUACAAAAUUCUACUACUAGAACUUCGAAAAUAAAAUUAAAAGUUUGCAUGUAUUUUUCAUUAUGCAUUGAUGUAGCUAAAGUGCAUAAUGUAACAGAUAUGGAUGAUUGAUAUAUAGCUACAAUAGAUGACCAAUAUGUUAUGACUAAUGUAUUAUGACUGAGAUAUGUUAUGACUGAGAUGACUAUGUUAUGAUGUAUGAUAUAUUAAUCACAUGAUAAAGACGUUAUGAUUGACAUUCAUGUCAUGCUAUGAUGUUUAUGUUAUGCUACAUGUUAUGGACUGUGGUGAUGUGUUAACUUUGUCUAUUUGGGUCGUAUCCAUAUGAGUGUCCCUCAGAAUCACCACAUUUUUAUGACUGUGUGGUUCGAUGGGACCACCAGUUUGUCAUGAUAACUUUUAUAACUUUUAUGAGUCAUUCGAUGGGGUCACUUACAGUCUGACUCUCGAGUUCACAGAGAGCUCAGAUGUGUCCCUACAGAUCACUGAAUAUCGUGUAUUCGGGAGCACGAUAGUUUGGAGUACUUCCUUACGGAACCUUAAUGGAAAGUUAACAAACACCUAGUAGAACUAGUAGUGAGUCAUUUACUGAGUAUAUUUUUAUACUCAUCAUUUUCUAUGUUUAGUAUUUCAGGCAAAUGUAAGGAUUGAGGAAAGCUUGUGAGCGACAAGAAGGAUCUGUGACAUGCCAUAUGAGGACAUAGUUCUGCUUCCACUUUUCAUUGUUUGUUUUCAGUGUUUUGAGCUUAAAUAUUUUGAUGUAUUAUCUUUGGAAUUGUAGAACUAACUACGCAACAUGUUUUCAUGAUGUUUUCAUGUAUUAUCUUUCAGUGUCAAAUUGUUAUUUAUCUUUAAGGUAACGACUUCAACUUAGUAUAAAGAGUUGGGUCGUUACAGCAAUAUUCUACCUCAUGUUGGAUCCAUUAAAAUACACUAUAUUUAGAAUAUACAAAUUAUCCUAUAACGAGGGCAGAGUUGGAAUUAAUAUAAUUAAAUAAAUGGACACACCUUCAAUUUGCUAUUUUUCUUAUUCCUGCUGCUUUUUGCUAUUUUUCCAGAUGUUAUCUCCAAUUUUGCUAUUCCUAUAGUUAUCUCUUUUAAAAACAACCCACGUAGACGCUCAUCUUUAAGUAUACAAUCUCCAAGCCUCCAUUUUCUAUCAUCAAACCCUCCAUCUUCAAUCUUCAAUACACAGUUCAUCAAAAACUCACCAUUCCAUCUUCGUAACAUAAAGCCACUAAAACUCCAUCCUUCAUCUUGCAUAUUUUUUACCAAAAUUACAAAAAUUUCAUCUUCAAGCUACUGAAUAUCAAACCGUAACAUUCUAUCUUCAACAUUUAGACACAACUCUCUGUUCUAACAUACAACAUCCGAUAAACUACAGAGGUGCAAAACUCCUUCUCAACAAUUUUAUCUAAACAAAAUUUGAUUAUCUAUCUUCACCAUUUUCAUCCUUGUAAGGGGAGAUAUUUAAUUUAUAUUAGAUAUAAUUUUACUAAUUAUUUUUAAUAAUAUAUAUAGAGAUUUGGGACUAUUUUAUCUAAAGAAACAAAACAUCUUGAGCUAUUUUGUUGAGAUAAAAAACAAAAUAUCUAAAUCCAUUUAAAAACACUUUAUUCUUCCUAUAAUUAAAAGGGAUGAAAUACAAGAAGAUGACGACGACGAAUACAAGAAGCAGAUCUUCGUAUACUAAAAGGGACAAAGGACAAAAAGACAAUGACAAAUGUAAGAAAAAUUGAUCGAUUUAGAGCUUCAAGGAUGACUGUAAAGAAGACUAUUAAUCUACCAUUGAAUAAAAUUAAGUGAAAUGAAAAUCAUGGUAAUAGUUAUUUUCAUUCCAUCUACCAUUGAAAAAGACGCUUAAGCAUUUAACAUCCAUGACAAGAAAUUGUUCAAUAAAAGGAGUAAAGGAAAUGAAGAAAGUUGGACUAUGAGUAAAAAAUUCAAAAUUCGAAAACUAAAAUCUUUUAUUAAAACUCAUUUUAAUUUUCAAAAUAUUAACUCUCCACAUUUAUGACAAACUUAUCAAUUGAAAAUACAAUUUUAAUUGUGGUUAAAAUUGAGCUGAAAUAUAUAUCUAAACCAAUUAAUUACAACCCUAGAAUAUGGGUACAAAUAAAUAUGAUAAUCAAAUAUAAUAUAUUAUUUUAAAUUUAAACUAAGUUCUAAACUUGUUUAGAUAAUCAAACAAACCGUUAAAUCUUAAGAUUUUAGGGAAAAUUUACAAUUAGAUAGAAGACGUUAUAAAAAUUGUUGCAUAAAUUGAUUUUAGUUACAUUGUAGUGACAAUGGGAACACAUAUAUCCAAGUAAUUAAUUACACUAUCAUUAUUCAUGAGAGGAAAUAUUAAAAUAAUUACACUGCAGGGACAACCAAGAGAUAAAUUGGUAGUCCACGUGACAUACAUAAAUUUGGCUAAAAUUCAGAAGGUUACUAUAUAUCAAAAUGAAACUUAAAUGGAUGCUACAUACCUCAUUUUUCCAUAAUUAUAUUUUGGUAGCAAGUAGUAACUACGAUUCCGGUAUAGGUAUUACUGGAAACCGUCGUAGGUUAAAACGAACCGUUCCGACCCGAAUCUAAGAAGGUCACGGUAAGAACUAGCAUUAGGCCGCUCCAUAAACCGGCCCGAGUCGCUGACCCUCCUCUUCGUCUUGCACAAUUUACCGCCCUCUCGAUGUUCCUUCGAUUCCCCAGUCAAAUUCUUGGUCUCUUGGAUGGAACGGAUGGAACCCCAAAGUCCAUCUAUCAGAACUUCGUACUUUGCAAAAAUUCCCAUGGAUUGCUUUUCUUUGCAAUCCUCGAGCCGUUUCAACGCGCAAACCAACUCGACCGAUUCGGCGAAACUGAGCCAACCGAGCCGGUGGUGAAACUCGGUAACUCGGAUUGAAAUUUCCUUCAUGGCCGACAAAUAAUCAUCACCGACAAAGCUGUAGAUCUUAUCCACCAAUCUGUUUCUAUUCAGAUGCAAACAGUGAGGCAUUUUCGAAAUUUCUUCGAUUAAACCCACCAAAGAUUCGGUCUCUUUAAGCAAAUCGGAGUUCAAAAUCCCUGAAAUCUGUUCUGUUUUUCUCUCCUUCUCUUCGUUGGACCUUGAAGAACCCACAAAAAACCCCAAAAUCCGGGAAAUAGACAAAACAGUUUCGAUGUACUGAGCGUACCAUCGGACCCAAGAGGAAAGGUCCCAAGAGAUGGGAUUGGAACUGUCGCGGAAAUCAGAGAGUUUGAGGUAGUUUCUACCACCGGUGAAGGGAAAAACAGAGAGCUGGUCUUGAAGAAUAAAGUCGCCAUCCUUGAAGAUGUGAUGGACGGCGAUAAGGCACUUGAGAGCGACGGCGGAGUUAUGGGUGGUUUGGAGGCGGUCCAUUAAGACUUCAACGGCAGGAGCGGCGGUGGCGCGUGAGGUUUUGCCAAGAGAGAGAAGGGCAGAGAGGUGCUUGUCGCUGGGUGGCGCGUGGAGGUCGUGAGUGGUGGCUCGGAGGAGAGCGAGUUGAAAGGACAGUAUGUUUGGCUUUGCCAGAAGGGCGGCUUUGCUUUGAGAGGCUUUGUCUUUGAUGAGUCCAAUUAGGGAACUCAGUUUUUUUGUGUUCACCAUUGAAAGGCUGAGAGAAAUCAACAUCUAACAAACAGAGAAUAAUUUUUUUUUACUUAUGGAGAAAUUGAUUUGAUUUGGAAAUGAGUACAAUUUCUUUUAUUUAUUAUUAAUUUUCAAUUGGAUGUAUUUUAAUAUUUGGCCUUUCAAAAGUUGGUUUUGGUCUUCGCUUCUCAGUGUUCUCACAGCUGUUUGAUUCUGUUUGAUUGCUCAAUUGUUUUCAUCUCCGUUUCUUUUCCUACUUCGUUCUCAAUUCUUCAUGGGUCAAAACUUGCUUCUUAGACUAUACAAUACAAUAGACUAUUAGGAAAAAUAUAAAUGGUCAAAAGAUAUAUAAUUGAACUUUCUUACGACCUUGUGAUUUGAAGGAUUCUGCUAAAAAAAAAAUACAACUUACCAUCUCUUUUCACCAUAGGCUUUCUUCAGGAUAGGUUGACUGAACCACAUGGGUUCCUGCUAUUGGAUGAUCAGAACCUCUUCCCCGAUCCGUAACAUGCAUCGAUGAGUUGAGCUUUCUUAAUCCUAACUAAUUUAGAAAAUUAGUAAAAUAUUCAAAUUAUUUAUAAAAGUUAGCAGAAUCAUUCCAACUUUCUUCAAUCAAUUUGAGGGUUUUUUUUUCUUUAUGUUUUGUAAGUUAUUUAUUAUUUUUUUUCUAUUAGUAACAAUUUUUCUAUACUAACUUUCUCAACAUUUCUAAAUAGACCACAAAUGGGGCCUGUAUGGGCCAGCAUAAGGUCCGAACAAACCAUGAAAAAGAGUUCAAAUGAAACACAAUUGUAAAGAGUUAAUUCUUCUUCUUCAUCUAGGGUCAUGCUAUGAGUGAAGAAGGUCAUUCCCCUUUGUCCCCCAACUUGUAAUAUUGUUCCAUUGUCAUGUCUUUCGUUUUUGUAUUCUUUGUAAUGUGUAUUGUGCAUAUUUACGUUGACCUAUGACCUACAUUCUUUGUAUAUAUUACAUGUUUAUGCCUCUUCAAUCCAACAUUCCUUUACUUUCCACCAGUCAAUGUGUUAUUCAUAGCUUAGGUAAAUAAUAAGUUCUUGAUAAUAAGUGUUGCUUAUAAGUCUUAUCGUGUUAGUCGAGCUAUUCUCAUCACCUAACCAGCGCAAGUCAUCAACUAGCUACCUGAAAGGGAAAGUAGCUAGGACCUAACUAACGCGUGUAGGGAGGAGCUUCAUCUUUCCUCCAAGAUCAUUUCCAAAUUUUGUAUCCCAGAAUUAAGGAGAAUGAUUGUGGAUAGUGAGAACCGAGAGGUUGCAGUCCUUAAUCGUGAAAUCCUAUACAAUUUAUAAUUCAUCUCUUCUAGACAUAACUCACCAACUCGUGCUUAGUCAUAUGCAUCUCUGAAAGUGAGCAUGUGUGGCAUAUAAUGACUUCAAGAGAAACAAACCCUAAUCAUAAGUAUGGUUUAGUGAGUUACAUCGCAUCAAAGUUAUCUCAUUACAGUCUACUCGCAUGAUAAUGCGUAGACAUUCCUUCCUUCAUUUCUCUGAUACAAGUUAGCUCACAUUACCAUACUGCUUUCUUAUCCCCUAUUUACAAACUCUCGCUGCUUUGUUUAGCCAUUGAGUUUAGUUUAACACUUCUUGCAUUUGUUAUUCUUUAAUUCUUUCACAUUGCCUAAAUGAUGAGUAGUUUAUAUAACUAAUGUCUUGAAUCAGUUCCCUAUGUUCAACCCUGGAUCAUCUAGGUAAACCUACUAUUUCACUUGCACUUGGAAAAAUAGUAGGAAAACUUGUACUCAACGAGGACUUAACUAUUAUGCAAUGCAGAGGGAUAUAGUGAGUAUUUCGCAUUUCAUGAUCAUGACUCAUGACUUAUCACAUAGAAUUAAUUACACAAUACAAAAAGAUAUGGUGAGCAUCUUACGCGCAAUGAACCUACUUAGUGACGUAUUGCAAUUGCAUUGUAUAAAUGUGAAACUACUAAGUUCUCAAACCUCACAAUCAAGUUUUUGGUGUCGUUGUCGGAAAACUAAUUUUUCAAGUAUUGGAGUAGUGUCUUACUCUGAUUUUAGGCAAAACAUUUGAUCUUGGUGAAUCACGCGAUUAGCCAAAAAUCAUGCAAAGAGGUUCAAAGUACUAAAGUAAUCUGUGAUUGCUUAACCAACCCCAAGAUCAGUGUAUCUUUUGGGUGAUGACCAAGAGAAAUCUCAAUGGAUGUGAUUGGUCACAAAUGAAACUGAGAACCUCUAUGAAGUCACCAAAGGAAGUGUCCUCGCUCAAUGCGAAUGAAAAGAACGUUUCAUUUAGCUACACGAUAAGGAUCAAGAAAGUUCAUUUGAGCAUUGCCAUGAAAGAUUAAGUGUAGAGACUUAUUGCAAUGAGCAAUCAUGAUGCAGAGAAUGACUGUUAUUGUAGCCUUUUUUAUUAGAAUAAUGCAUUUAAAACACAUAAGGAGAUUAUCAAAAUGCAUGACUUAUGAUAUAAACGCAUAAGUAUUUAGAAAUACAUCUUAUAUAUAUGUUAUUUCUGUUUUACGUUGUUAUCAUGUUUAAACACGGGACAAGUGAGAAAGGAAGAAAGGAGCAUCUCAUACAUGACACCUAGCACAAGGGCUAUGCGAUGGAUCUCGCUUGGCGACUAACAACUUUAGACGACGGACCAAAACAUCAAGCAAGGAAAGCUCACAAGAAGACAAGAAUGGUAGUUGUUGGAAUGAUGUGAUCUCACAGGGCCAGAGGACAGCAGUGACACACUCAGAGGAAUAUAAGUUUCUUGUUGAAAAGCACCUUAUACAAGCACUUCAUCUCCACCAAGAGAGAAGGACCCGAAUAGGCCGAAGAAAAUCUGUAUAGAGAGAGAGAGAGAGCUUGAGUAAGCCACCUAGAGAGUAUACAGUCGUGAUGAACAAAACGAUUAUUUGUCAUUGAUUCCCUAACUUGUACUAGUAGAAAUCCCCUUUCUCUUCUUUCCAUCUUUGUUAUUUUCAUUUAUAUUUUAUACCUCAUAUGUACAUAUCCUUUAUAAACCCAUACUCACAUUCUUUGAUAUUUUUACAUAAAUAAAGUCGUUCAAUCCAUUAUCUCUCUUCUUCUUCAAAUUAAUGUGUUAUCAAUUGUUUGAGUAUGUAAUAGCUCUUGAUAAGAAAAGUUGCUUAUUACUUUAACGUGUUAAUUGUACUUUUGGGAACGCUUGACCAACAUAAGUUGCUAACUACCCAAGAGGGAAAGUAGCUAAAACUUAAUUAACACGCAUGAAGAGGAACUCUGCCUCUCUGUGAAAGUGUUUCAAACAUUUGGAUCAAAGGAGAAUAAGUGUGGGUAGUGGUUACUGAGAAGUAACUGUCCUUAAUCAUAAAAUACUAUAAGAUGCAUAAGUUAUUUCUUCUAGACAUAACUCACCUAGCCAUAUUUGGUCAUAUAGAUCUCUGAAAAUUAGUCAUGUGUCGCAUAUAUGCAUUCAAGAGAAGCAUGCCUUAAUCACAAGUGUGUCUUAGCAAGUUAUAUCACGUCAAGGUUAUCUCUUUACUCAUCAUAAUGAUAUCACGUGGACACUCCUACCCUAUUUUCCUAGUGCAAGUUAGAUGCGAUAUUUUAUCUCUUUUCAUGUUGCUUUACAGACUUUCGUUGUGUAAUUAGUUAACUCUUACAUUUGUUAUUCUUUAAUUCCUUCUAAUCUGUCUAAAUGAAAAGUAUAACCUAUAACUAAUAUCGAAAAUAAUUCCCUAUGUUCGACUCUGGAUAACCCAGGUAAAUUUACUGUUUUGUUUGCACUUGGACAGGUAGUAGAAAACUUGUACUCAACGAGAACUUAAGAAUCACACGAUGAAGAGGUACAUUGUGUUUAUCUCACAUGAUAUGAUCAUACUUCAUGACCCAUCACCUUGAAUGAAGCACGCUCUACUGAGAGUUAUGGUGAGCACAUUACACGCAAUGAUCUAACUCGAUGAUGUAUUGCAAUUACAUUAAACAUAAUUGAAACUAUUAAGUCCAAUCACUAAAUUGAAUAAACCAAGAGACUAAUGAUGCAAAUGAUCUCUGGAGUUUAGAAAUGAUGCGGUCAAGAAAACUAUGCGAAGAAGAAGCGAUGAUACCAUAGUUCUUUCUCGUCAAAGAACCUGAACGUAUGGAUGCAUCUGUAAUGUAUAACUCUUUCAAUUUUUUUUUAAAAAUUGAAUCCCUAUAUUUAUGUACAUAUUUACUUAUAUCCCUAUACCUCUAUAAGUAUUAAUCUUAUAUACUUGACGCUUAAAAAAUGUAAAAAAAAAAAAAAAAAAAAUCCUUAUUCUUGACACUGGAUUACUUGACACUUAAAAAUAUAAAGUAAAACUCUCUUAUUCUUGACAUUGGAUUACUUGACACAUUGAAAAGUGUCAAGUAAACAAAUACUUGACAGGUAAAAAUGGUCAAGUAAACCUUUUUUUGUAGUAGUGGAUCAAGAUUAUAAUGUACCUAUGAUGGAACACGAGACAUGUGCAGCGGAAAAACAAUAUCUAUUUUACUCUAACUACAUCUAAACAAUUUAGAAAUUAACAUGCUACAAAUUAAAUACCCUAUAAUUAAACAAAAUUAGGGUUAAAGAAAAACUUACCUUUGAAGCUUUUCGAUCCUCGUAAUCUCUUUACUAACACAAACUUUGGACUAUCACUAGUGUUGACUCGCUAUUCUUCAAACUUAAAACUGGGUGGUGGGACUUGAUAAGUGAAGAAAAUUUGGAGAGAAAGAUGAAAAUUGGAAGGUGAGACUUAGGGUUGAAAAUUAAGAGAGAAUGGUUUUAGGUUUAUUUUGUAAGUAAAAAUUACAAAAAGUAUAAAAAGUUUUCUCUCCUUUGAAAUGAUGGCUAUUUAUAACCUAAUUACAUGUAAUUAGCUCAUAAAAUCUCAACACCUAACAUUCCACUAACUAUUAGUGAGACUUAGUGGGCUAGGUGUUUACAUCUUAUGUAGCCACUUAUCCCACUAAGUGUUAGUGGAAUUAUCCAACAAAAUGUUCGAUUCUCCCACUAACUUUAGUCCAAAGGCAAUAUGGUCAUUUACCAUUCAAGUCAAAGUCAAACUUUGAAUUUUUAUCAUUUUAUCUGUUUUUACUAAUUUCGACUUUUUGAGAAUGAAUCUACAUUCAUUUUUCUAAAAUACAAAUCACUUUUGAAUAUAAAGUCGAUCAAAGUUUGACUAUUCAAAGUAAAAAUUCAACAUUUUGACUUUUUUCAAUUUUGAGCACUUCCAUCAAUUAUGAGCUUUCGAAUAUGAAUCCACAUUCAUAUUUUAAUAUUUAAAUCACAUUUAAAGAUAAAGUUAUAUCAGAUAACCAACCGCUAUAUCACAUAUAUUCGUUAGUUUCUAUCUCCUUACCUAAUUCAAACUUUUCAAACUAAUCUAACAUGUUGUUCUAAGUUAAUUCCAUAUGAGCUAGCAGAGGAACCUAAUGGACUUAAUUAAAGACUCUAACUAUCCAAAAUUAACUAGCGAAACCCUUUUAGAUUGAGCUAAUUAACAUUCAUUAACUAAUGGGUAAUUCUACUAAAGUCCCGUAGUUGCAUCCUUCUCACUAUAGAUAUAUUUGUGUCCAUAUGAUAUAACCAUGAUCAGUAAGUUAAUCCAUCACAAGUUGUUUUCAUAACCUCGAUUGGGUCAAAAUAUAGUUUCAUUAUUUCCGAUAUUACAUCUUGCUCCUUAAGUCUCACCGAUCCACUGUUAAACAAUUGGUUUAAGAUCCAACCUAUAAAUUGAAUCCCUCUUGGGUCAAUAAAAGGGUGGGGUCCCUUGUUUAAGUCUUGGAUUCAGUCCUUAAGGGAACAACCUAUGUACUGACUUCUUGUUUGUUUAUGUGUCUGUAUUGCAUUGCUCAUUUUCAAAUAAUAAACAUGUAGUACUAUUGUUUGUCCAAGUGUAAGGAAAACGAUAGGUUUCCUAGAAAGUCUAGGGUAAAACAUAGAGAACUUCUAUCAAAUCUUAAUUAUAAAGCGUACUUCUCAUUCAGGUGGUAUACAAUAACUAUACAGUAUAAAGUAAAAGUAUGUCUAAUUAAGCACUAAAUUUAAUAUCUACACUAGAGAUUCUAUAAAAGAUGACAUAAAAUGGUGAGGAAAUGGAGAAUGAACUAACUUGCAUUAAGAAGGUGUUGAGGAAGGUCUCCACAUUCUAGGCAAUCAAGGUACACAAUAGGCCUUAAUGCGGUAGAGAUCAACUAACUAGCUUAUAAUUAAGGCGAACACUUCUCAAUACCUUAAACCCCACAAAUGCUUACCUUUCAAGAUGCAAAUGAUAAAGCCCAAUUAAACAAUGACUAUCUAGACGUUGUUACUUAUAAGACUUAUAUUACCUCUCUUUUAUGGGUGACAACCUCUCAGCACCAAGUUAACACACUUGUUCUUCUUUCGAAACACAAAUGAUGAAGGUUUAAUCACCAAGAUGGAGUUUGAUGGAGUUUAUCGCCAAACUCCUUCUUGUAAGCGUUAGCUAUAUCCUUGCUACUUACUCUCUCGAGUAGUUGAUAAUAGACACUGACCAAGCGAUGGAGUAAAACUCAACAAGAACUUAUCACAAUACUAGACUACUUAUAACACUUUGACAGAUGAAUAGUAAAGGCUUGAUGGAUUGAAAAGGAAUAAACUUGAAAUGUAUUAAAGAAUUUAGGUCUUUGACCACUGUACAAUAUAAACGCAUACAUUAGAAUGAAAUAGAAAAAUGAAAAGUAAUGAGAUGAAGCUCGCAAAAUGCCUAAGCAUUCUUUGGCUCUCUUACAAGUUAACUCAAAAUCUAAACAAUCAUGUACCAAUAUCCUAACGAUUUUUUUCAAGAUAUUUUUUUAUCUAGUACACGAUCUUGAAUAAAAUAAUACAAGAUUUAUGAUUGAUUGAAAAAAAAAUCAUUAUUUUAAAAAAUAUAAAAAGAAAAUGACAAAAGAAGAAGAGAAGAAAGAUGAUGGAAAUGAAAAGAUAAAUUGGAAAAGAAGAAGAGAAGAAAGACGAUGGAAAUGAGGGAGAAACCUUGAAUAUUUUUUAAAAAAUGGCAAGCUUCAUGGGCUUUUUUAUUUUGUUACACCGGCCGUAAUAAUUUUAGUGUUUUAUUAUAUUUAUGAAAAUUAACCUUAUAUAUGUGUACAUAUGUAUGUAUGCAUGUGUAUGUAUAUAUGUAUGAAAGUUAUAUAAACCAGGUCGGGUUGGAUCAACCCGACCCAUUAUGCCUAACUCAAUGAUUCGACUCUUUUUUUUUUUUUCACUUUUCUAACCCAACCUAGCCCUUAUGUUUUGCGUUGGAUAAUCCAAGUUGGUCGAAUUACCGAUUUUUUUUAACACCCCUAGAAAUUAAUUAUAUGAAGUGGAGAAGAAUAAAUAUUGCAAAGAAAAUAAAAGAAGUGAAGUGAAUAAAAUGGUCUUGCAAUAUUAAAAAACAACAAAGGGUAAACCGAAAAUUUAUGAAAAAAGAAGGUGCCUCCGUGGGCUUUAAUUUUUUGUUAUACGACUUUAAAUAUUUUUUGGUUUUGUUAUAUUUAUGUAAAUUAACCUAAAAACAAGGUUAAUUUUCAUAAAGGGAAAUUGCAUCAAAUUAUGACAAAAACCACUACUACAAAUUUGGUCUUUCUCGACGCACGUAAAUUUUGAUUUCUUGAUGGUCAUGGCAAAAGACCACCAAGAAAAAUAUUUUUCUUGAUAUAAUGUUCAUUUUUAUGGUCAUGUACGUUAAGAAAUGUCUCUUAUUUUGUUGAAGAAAUAUGAAAAAAUGUUUUUAAGAAAUCUGGAUUAUUGAUUUUCUUGAUGAGCAUAGUUCUCUUUAUUUUGUCGAUGGUCCACAAACUUCAAGAAAACUAUAUCUCGAUGGACAACAAAUAUCAAAGAUAAUGUACUUGUUGACUAGCAAUGCCCAUAAAGUUAGUUAGGUUUUCUUGAUGGACGAGACCCAUCAAGAGGUGAAUUUUCUUGAUUUGCGAUGGCCAUCAUUGAAAAAAAAAUAAUAUAUUUGUUUAGGAUUUCUUAAUGGGUUUAGAAUUUUCUUGAUGAGUCUAGGGUUUCUUGAUGGACAAAGACCAAAAAAGAUCAUGGGCAAGGUCCAUAAAAAAAAACUAUUUUUCACGAAGCGCGAAAUUUGGAUCCUCAUUAACAAGCUCAUAAAACACGAUAUUCAUGAAUAAUAUCCUUAAAUAUUUACUGUUUGUUUUCAAUUAUUACUUCUAUUCAUCAAUAAUACAGUAUGACUUUUUUAAAAGUUAACUGUUGUAAUUAUAUUUAAAUUGAAAUAAUUGACUUUAUCAAAAUGAAAUUAAUUAUUGUGUUCACUUUAAUGAGUUGAAUUGAAAGUUUGUAAUUUAGGGUUUUUAAAAUUUGUAGAAGUUUUAUAAGCUGACUAACAUGAGCUUAACUUAACUAACACAUGUAUGUACCUAUGGACAAAAAGUUUUGGGUUUAAAUCCCCACCCCUGCAUUAAAAAUUUGUAGAAGUUGUUUAUAAAUUUGGAUUUCAAGCUUACAAUUCUUAGUACAAGAAUCGUUGAGGAGGGAAUCAAGAUCAUGAAGAUGCCUGGAGUUAAGGUGGGUGAGUAAACUGGUUUUCUUGAUGGACUAUUCGGUUUUUUAUAGGCUUUUCAGUUUCUUUGAUGGACAAAAAGCAUCAAAGUUUUCAUUCUUGAUGGUGGGGUUUUCUUGAUGUCUGCCUACUUGAUGGGCAAAGAUCAUCAAAAGUAGACAUUUUUGGACGUGCUUUGCAUAUAGAAGAAGGCCAAAUUUGUAGUAGUGAACAUUUAUAAAAAAACAACUUGUAGCACCUAUUUUUUGCAUAUUGUGAUUAUGACAAAAUUAGUGAUAUCAAACGGUCAUCAAACGGUAAUCAUAGGGCUAUCAAAUGGUAAUCAUAGGGCUAUCGACUUUUAAAUUUGCUACUUUUGCAAUUUAGAGAAGGUAGUGACAUGAACUCUAUUAUCAGAUUUUUUUUUUUGCUAUUUUUGCAAGGGCUCCUUUCAUAAAUACAUAUGGAUAGUUGCAAAUUUAGCAAUUAAAUUCAAAAUAAUUAAGUAUAUAACAACAUUUUAAAAAAUUUGCAAAUAUAGCAAAAUUUGUCAAAUUAUAUCAAUGAUAGAAGUCUAUCACUUAUAGACCAUGUUGUAAAUAUUGAUCUAUCACCGAUAGACCACACGAGUCUAUCAGCGAUACAGCAAUAGUUUUGCUAUAUUUGCAUUUUUUUUAAAAUGUUGCUAUAUCCUUAAUUAUUAUUCCUCAAAUGGCCAUCCAUUACAAUUACCUUAUAUAUAUAUAUAUAUAUAUAUAUAUAUAUAUAUAUAUAUAUAUAUAUAUAUAUAUAAGGUAAUUGUAAUGGAUGGCCAUUUGAGGAAUAAUAAUUAAGGAUAUAGCAACAUUUUAAUUAUACAUAUUCUCAUUAUCUUUCCUCAAAUCAACCAUCUCACUUUAUGGAUUAUCCUUUUUUUUCUUCAAAUAAUUAUAAUUAUAUUUCAUCAUAUAAUUAAUUUUACCUUUUCAACUAAAUAAAAUUCAACUUCUUUUUCCUCGAAUAAAUUUUCCAUCAAAUCAACUUUUAUUUUCCAAAAUAGUUAUCAUUUCCAAAUAUCAAUUCUUCUAUUUCUUUAUUAAAUCUCAUCAAAUCCAAUCAACUUUAUUCUUUUACCAAAAUAAUUAUACUUUUACAAAUAAUUACAUUUUUUCAAAAUGUAAUGAUUUUCUUAUUAUGUUUUUCUUAAAUAAUUAUAUUUUAAUAAAUAUAAUUUUUUUCAAUAAUAAUUAUAUAUAGGGAUAUUUUAAAAAUUUCAAAAUAAAUUAAAAUAUUUACAAGUUAUAGAAAAUUUUUGGAUUCUAUCACUGAUAGUCUUCUAUCACUAUAGCAUAUCAAUGACUAUCAGUGAUAGAAUUUGUUAUAGGUUGGUAAAUAUUUUGUAAAAUUUGUUAUUUUUGAAAAUUUCCCAUAAUAUAUAAUUAUCAAAUCGUCAACAAAAUCUUCUUUAUUUUUCAUAAAAUCAAAUAAUUUUCACAACUUUACUUAAAUCUGAUAACAUAGAAUUAAUUCAAAUUAUCAAUAAACACCACAAAUUCAAAUCCUCUAAUUAAUUAAAUAUUCAUCCAACAAAUAUCUAAUUAAUUUCAAUGUCCACAAAAUCAGAUAAUUUUCAAAAUAAACAUUCAAUAAAUUAAACAUAAUUAAACAAAACUAAGAUAAUUAACUCUAAAAAUUAUCUUAAUUUUUGGGCUUUACAAUCGCGCAUUUGAGAAAGUCAAUGUAUUUCACAAACAACCUUCAAAUUUAGUAAAUCCUAAUUAAAUUUGGGAUUUUGUUUCUGGAUAAGAUCGUAGCAACUUUUCCCUACAAUAAUGGCAAAUAGAUCUUCCAAAUCCUCGUUACAUCAUAAACCAUUUAUUAACAAUUUUGGUAAUUUAUAAUUAAUAAUAUAUAGGGUCUAUUUUAGAUUAGAUUAAAAACAUUCGGUUCAAAUUUAAUAUUUAGAGUAUGUUCAUUAAUAUUUUUUAUUUUUUAUUUUUUUAUUAUUUUAGAAUGUAUGUUUUGAUGGUAGUUAUAUCUAUUUUAAAAUACUAAUAAAAAAUAUAUAUUAAAAUAUACAUGCAAAAUACAUUCAUUGUUUUAAAUGUAUGUUAUUUAUAUCUAUCUUUAAAAAAUAUUUCGAAUAUAUAUAUUUUUUUAAUAAUAUUUUGAAAUAUCAUUAUUCAUGUUAUUUACUUUUAUUAUUCUAUGUUGUUUUUUAAAAUUUGUAAAAUUUAUCUUAUUUGUUUAACAUAUUUUGUUGAUUAAUUACAAUCUUUAUAGUACAUCCUUUAGCAUAAUUUUCGAGGACAAUAGUAGAAUUAUAACAAACAAGUUUUUGUUAUGACUUUACAACGAGUAACGACUGUUUUGGAUGGUAUAUGGAUUGAACUUUCUCGGCAUCUCAAUUAUCAUAUUGUUGAGGUAUAUGUUUCAUGUUCAUGUUCAUUUCAAGGAUUUGUAGAAUGUAUUCAAGGUAUACUUUUUUCGUCUUCAAUCUUUUCAUGUCUCGUUUGACCGUUUAUUGGGAUGACUGCAACAAUUCCAACCUCAUUCAGAUUGUUGAGAUCUAGGAUAUGUCUUGGCAUGUUAGUUUUGUCGAAAUUUUCUGAUAAUGAUUUACUUGUGGUUGUUGACUCUGUAUUGACUCGUGUUGUUGGAAGUACAUUGUAUUUGAACAGUGAAGUGCUCAGAUCUCAAAAUUCACAUCAUUAUAUAAGGAGAUUAUUGACGUUGAUGCCUUUAAAUCGUUGUAUGCUAUAAUAUCUAUUAAAGUGAUAUUAAUGUUCAAAAGCAAAUCAGUAUUGAAGAAAGCUAGUUAUUUGCUUGUUGUGAACAAUAGUUUUGAACUUGUUACUAUUAGGUCCAAUCUACCUCGUUUGAUAUUCAUUGUAAGGAUUUGUCUUGUCCUUGGUAUUUACGUGCUUCUAUAUUAAAAAAGAAAAGUGAUAUUUGGAUAGUUCGUAAAUUCAUAGAUGCCUCUCAAUGUGCUAUUAACAUCGUUAAAAAUGUUCACAUGCAAGCAACAUCUUGGAUUGUUUCUAUGUGUAUAAAAUCUUUUUCUUUUUUAAAUGAAUGACAAGGGUCCAUGUCGUCCUUCUAACGUUAUUAAUUAUAUGAAAAUUCAUCCCAUGGAGUGAAUGUAAGCUAUGACAAGGCUUGGAGAGUGCGUGAGAUUGCAUUGAAUUCCAUUAGGGUCAGGGUACUCUGGAGGUCUCAUAUGCCAUGUUGUCAGCAUUCUCGGGUGCACUAAUCUGAAACAAUCCAUGUAUACUUAAUCACAAAUACAUUGUAAUUCCUUUUUAGAAAAAAUUACAAUUGGUCAGUACGUAGAAAUACACUGUAAUUUACAUGUACUCCAGUCAAAUUUUAAAAAUAUCUUAUUUGUUUAUUUCACUGUUUUCAAGGAAUCUUCAUCUGCAUAUGUACACUGAUAAGCUCUACUAUGUUUCAAAUUUGAUAAACUUGUACAAAAAGGGAAUACGUCCUAUUGAUAGUGUAUACCAAAUUAGGAAAAUGUACUAAGGUGGCCAUGAUAGACUCCUUCCACUCCAGGUUAAACGUCCAGCUAGGAGACCUUAAAAAAGUGGUUUACUUCAUUUUUAGAGAAAGAAGUUAUUGUUCGUUGUAGUAGGUGUGGUCAAAGAGGUCACAAUUGUAGGUCUUGUAAAGAACCCAUACAACAUUAAGUUUCUAUUUUAGCAUUUCUCUUAGUUCCUAGUUAUCAUUUUUAAGUACUGGAUUUUGUUCUAAAAUUGUUAAUUCUUUAGAGUGUUCUAUGUUAUUAUUGAAUUUGCUUGGUUGUAUAUGGAAAAAUCGGUGAAGUUCAUUACAUACAGUAUAUUUCAUAUAUUUUACAGCCACCUAAGUAUAUUGAAUUUGCAAUUAUAUCCUAUUGUAGGUUAUGUGUAUUAAAUUCAAGUAUCGUUCUUUUCAAAUUAGAUACAUUCGGGUUGUCAUAACCAGGAAUUCAUGUCAUUUAGGUCAAUAUACAUUAUGUAUAGCUUGUAACCAUUAUUGCCUUACAGAGUAUUUGUCUUUUUUGUAUUUGUGCGUUCAAUUAUUGUAAAUCUAACAUAUUGGUUAUUUUGAACGGGAAGAUUAUACGUUAAUACCUAAGCAAUGUGUUGGAAUUUAACACUGUUAAAUACAUCCUCAUUAUCUGGAAUAAGUAGGGAUAUGAUCCUGAUUACAGUGUGGUUCGUAUAGUGAAGUUCAAAGAACAACUUGUCAUGGGGAUGAUUUAAUUAUAUUAAUCUCGACUCUGCCCCUCAUUAUAGAAUAAUUCAUAGAUUCAAAGUAUAGUGUAUUUUAAAGACAUUUCAAGGAUUUUCCUCUUGCCCCAAGCAGAAAUUGGUUGUAGUGGUUUGGAUUUGGCAAGAAGGGCUUGACAUUUUAGAUUUGGAUUUCCAAGGAGUUGGGAUUUUUAUUAUUGGAGGUGGCAUGGUGCUUUUGGCGGUGAAGUGGUGGUUGUUUUGAUGGUUUUGGAGGGUGAGGGCGAAAUGAUAGUCUUGGGCAUUUGGUCAUCAAACACAAUAAUGACCGUAAGAGACAGAGGGUCUCUAGAGUCCUUAGCUUUUGGUUUCUUGAGCCUGAAGCCUCGUCCUUUCCUUUCCUCUUACGGCUUAGUGGGGUAUGUGAUUCACUCUCCCUUUCUUCUGACUCCACUUCAGUAACCUCGUCAACUUUUUCUUCUUUCUUAGUCUUGAGGCGUUUGCCUUUAGCCUUAUUCUUGUUGAGGUUUAUUACGUGGUAAAGGCCUAAAACAGUACAUAGUCCAUCUUUCACCUUUCUCUUAGAGAGUUUUUCUAAUGUUGGGCAUGCCUCUAAGCAUAAUUGCUCAAUCGAGUAAGGUAGUGGUCUUGAGCCAUGAGGAUGCUUGGCCUAUGCAAGAAUGUGCUCGCAUAUUAUUUCGUCCAUGUUCACAGGAAUCUCCCCCACGACCAAGUGAGGCAUGCGACACGCUACAGGCAAGGUUAGCACGCAGCAAGGCCUACCUAGGCCCUGUGCACGCGCCAAGCCCCUAUUGUCGUUCUCUACACGCUAUCAAGCCAAACUGGGGAUUUUUGGGGCAUUUCGAGUGCUUUUGCUAUUUUUUAGAAGAUUUUGGAUUUUCUAAGGAUAAAGAAUUAAUUCAAGCUUAAAUGACAUUAUUUUCAAGAAAAGAAGAAAUUUGGCAAAUUUACAAGCCAAGGGUUUAGUUACCACUUAUGAGUACACCUUGUUUUAAAAGUUAUUGUUUAAGCAUGGUUUCAAGCUUCCAAGUAGAAAAAUGAAAUUCUAAAUUGAUUUCUAAAUAUGUUUUACAAGCUAUUGUUUAAAGCAUGCUUUGAGAUAAAUGUUGAACUUUACUGAUUUAUUACAUUUGGAUUUACAAAGCAUGUGUUUAAGUAUUAGAAAGGUGAAAGCAUAUUUGAGUUUACUGAACGAUUUAGCAAAGCUUAUUUAGAACUUGUGAUUUGCUGAAGGCAAGAAUGAUUUAUAAACAUGAUAUUAAGUUUAAGACUAGGACUUUACAACAUAAAACAUUUUAGCAUGUUUUAGUCUAUACCUAAGUUAUUAUGAGAUACAUAGCAACCAUUCGAGAGAAAUUUUUUCUUGCACAAAGGUCCUUUGAUGAUGGUAUUUAGUAGAUACCUAAAUUUCUCAUUACUGAUACUAGUUUAGAGAUGAGGGCAUCUGUGGACUCAUACAUUUUUCAUCUUAUAGUACCUAUAACGAGAUGGAGCACUACUGAUGCCUAGAUUUUCGUCUCAUAAGUAGUGUAUCAUGAGAUAGGAUUUUCAUGCCUACUUUAUCAUUUUCGUCUCGUGAUUCUUUGUGGUAUAGCAAUUAAAAGAGAAAAUUUGAGUAUGAUAAAUUAUUUAAAGAGUUAACCUUUAAAGAUUAACUAUUUCAAAAACAUGUUUUACAAAACUGUCACUUAUGGGCUAUUUAGCUCACCAUUUCCAAAUGUUUUCCACUUUCUAAAAAGGGAUAAUGAUUUUCGAGCCUGACCUACUAUGCCAGUUUUGUUGUUUAAGCUUUGGUUUAUUUAGUGGUUAGUAGUUCAAGAUAAAACUACGUCAUGUCAUAUGUCUUAAGUUUAGAAGUUUGUCGGGAUGUUGACAUGUUGUUCUUAUUUUAUUUUUAUAACGUUGGUCGGUAAUUAUUAGUAUGUGGUUUUGUUUUUAAACAAAGUUGUGUUCAAAAGAGUCACUUUGACAAUAAAAGUAUAUUGUUAAAGCUACUGGCCCAGAAAUUAAAUUCUAAAGUAUUAAGUUGCAUUUAUGUGUAAAAUGUAUUUGGAUCUCAUAUUAAAAAUUUAACAAAAGUUAAAUUGUUUUUUCUUUUUUUCCUUUGAAUUAUGUUAUUCUUAUCGCUUAGUAACCAAAGGAAUUAAGCAAUAAAGCCAUAAUUCAAGAACUUAAGUUGAAUGUCCUAGUGUCUUAUCUUGAGGCAUUAGAGUUGCUCACACCAUGUCGUGUGCCGCAUAGCGAGGUUUAAGACACCUACAGGGAGGGCGUGACAGGGGAAUCGUGGAUGUGGAUUUCUCUUAACUCUGUUCCAAACUCUCACCUAAAACACAGAAGGAAAAUGAAAGAUGAAGUGAACUUGUUCUCCAAAAAUUUUGCACACUUGUUCUAAAGAGACACCUUCUAUUUAUGGGCGAGGAUUGAUAGGACUUAACAUCAUCUAGGCUUUAUUAAUUCUCUGAUAAAGUUAUUCUGCGCCACAAACGUCCCUUUCAUCAUUUUCUAACAUUCUCACCAACCAUUUUGUCUUCUAGCGAUGUGAAUCACUAGCUUCAUGCUUAUGAUUGCAUGGUGGUCGCAUGUCUCCUCUUCUAAUGUUUAUUGCUCAACUACUCUUCUCUUUUCCCCCUGAAAACCUACAUUAAGACAUAAAACUAUUUUUCUACUUGUAACGCAUAAAUGUCUUAUUUCAUCAGUUUAAUUACGCGUUUUCUUCCUUUUUCUAGUGUUGAGACUUCAUUAUUCUAUCUAAAAGACUAUAAAAGCUUGUAUUUUUUAGAAGGUAUCAAUCAUCUCUAAAAAGAAGAAACACACCACCAUCAUUGUCACUGUGGAGGAGCUUCAAAGUCAAGCUUAUAUUUAACUCUUAGUACUAUGUCGAAGUCUGCUAACAACAUUUGUAAUAUUCUAGAUGUGGGUUUUAAUUUCUUCAUAAUUCAAUGUUAUAGGCAUAAAAUUCCUGUCAACAUGUGUCUCUAAUAUGCAAACUUUGGUUCUCAUCCCAAUCCUCUUCAUAUCCAACAAAUAUCCAACAAGUAGACACUUUUAUCUCAUCUACAAAGAAAAAUAACAUUUGUCAUUAAUUUGUAACAAAAAUUGAACAUAGUACACUAUGUCUCGCUACCUAGAUCUCUCAAUGUCUUGCCUAUUCAAAGACUCUCACUAUCUAUGUCUCACUUUCUAACAUGUCUCACCAUCUUAAUGCGUUGCUUGAACUCUGUCUCGUUGUCUCCUCUCACGCUAUCUCUCAUUACCUCUCGCUUUACAUACAUCCUUCUGUGUGUAAUGCUCUCUCUCACUCGUCUUUGAUUUCAAACUCUCACUCUACGUACCGCUCAUACAAAUGCUUUACAUCCUUCAAGGGUCAAUUUACAUUUUUUAAAAAAAGAAAAUGGUAUGGUUAAAUGUAAGAAGAGUGCUUAAGCUAAUGUUAAAUGUUAUUUUACAUUAUUUUUCAAAAGGGGUCAUUUUGCAAAUUGUGCAGGCCAAAUGGGUCAUCCCAACAAAUUUUCCUUCCUUGGAAAUUCAAACUCCGUUCUAUGGCCGUAAAGAAAAAAAAAAAAAAAAAAGGAACAAAGAAGUCAUUAUCUCGUCCUCGACCUCCUCUUGCGCGUCUCUAAUCCGGUGACGCUCUGACGACAUCACGACCCUUACGGCGACCCAACUUCUUCAACAACUUCUUCCAACGCAAGCGGUGACACACCCAGGUGACCGAAGCUGAAGCGUUCGAUUUGAGAGAGGGCGUGGGUUCCUUGCGUUCUCCGGCGACUGUGGUGUAGACCCACGGCGACUCGAGGGUUCCAACGUCUAUUCUGUAACGUGGGACGUCAGCCUUUGAACCCACGAACAGCGCGUGAAUUUCCCUGAAACUCUCAAAAAAGACGUAUAGGAAGUGGAAAAGUGGCAUCUCAAGCAGAGGCCAAUGUUUGGAUCUAGGUUUUCCAUUUUUGGAACCGGUGCUGCUGCUGCUGAUAAGGUCGAGAAGUCAGCGAAGAGCGAGUUUUUUCCUGGCCUGAAACUUCGUUCUGAUAAAGAUGUGUAUCGGCCUGGCGAUCCGGUUGUUGUUACUAUUGAAAUUUGUUCCUCUGUCCCUCAAUUGGACUGCUCUCUUUUGAUCGAACGACUUCGUUUUGAGAUUAUUGGGCUCCAUAAGUUGGAUGCUCAGUGGUUUAGCACUCAGAAGCCAAUUCCUGGAUCCAAACAACGGAGAGGUUCCAAGUCCAUUUUAUAUGAUAUUUUUCUCAACCGUUGCCUUCUCCUUGUGUAAUGUGUGAUUGUUAUUCGUCAAAUUUGUUAUUAGCUUUUAUUCUGUUACGUUUUGUAAUGUUUCCAGUAAACUCUCUAUUUGACAGAGGGACUUUUCAUUCUAAGGCAGUAUUCCUUUUUGGAGUAAUGAAAGGAAACCAGUACUUGUCACUUUGUAGAAUUUGCAUGGUUCUGCAAAAUUUUUACUUAUUCAUCUACUGUCUUUUCAAAAAUUGCAUCGGUUUUCCUAGCUGAUGUAGUUCAAUUUCAUGUCCUUUGUUUUGUCAGGUGAACACAUUUUCAUGGACUGCUCGGUACAAUCAAUAGUUUCAAGUCAGAUAAUAUCUUCGGGGGCUAUGAAGUCAUGUAAGCCCAUGUUGUUGUAUGCACAACAUUUCUGUACCUCAGUUGUUGAUAUGCAUGCCGUUCACUUGAAUAUUACACAUUUCACAUCCUGGGACUGUUGUUCCUUUAGUUUGAUUCAUAGGGUCCGGAUUUUUUGAGAAAGAGUAAAUGCUCUCUUCCAAUAUUAUUGAUUGAAAACUCAAUUUUCAAGCAGAGGUCGAGCCUCUUAAAUAUACAAUCAAUGAAGAAAAAAAUGAAGGAAAAUUGAACUUAUCAAAAACUUAGGAAGUACAAAUAAAGAAGUAGACUACAAUACCUAAUGCAAAUAAAUGCUGAAGAAAGUCGAGCAUGGAAGAUGAUAAAUACAAAAUUGAGAAAUGAUGUACAGAGACAAAACAUAAUUGUCUAAACAACCCCUCUCAAACGAGGCAAGGGAGGGAAUCGAAGUCGGAGGUUUGUCAUGAAGCACCAAAUAAGGAGGUAAUGUUUAGUUAGACAAUCAACUAGUUGAUAUGGAGAAUAAAUAUACUGGACAACGAGCUUAUAGGAAAGAUCUUGAUUACAAAUGAAGUGAGCAUCAAUUUUUAUUUGCUUGGUGCAAGCAUGAUGAAUCAGAUUGCAAGUAAUGGCUAUAGAAAAAAUGUUAUAAUACUAUGUAGUUGAGGGAGAACAGAGGUUUACACAAAGAGCAUGAAGAAUAAUCUGAACCCACAGCUAUUCACGAGCAACAUGGCAGAUAGCACACUAAUCUGAUUUAGUUCUAGGGUGAGCAACGAUUGCUUGCUUUUCAGAAGUUCAUGAAAGUGAAGGGGAACAAAGAAAGACACAAUAGCCUCCUGCCAACUUGCAAUCAUCUGGAAAAGAUGCCCAGUUUACAUUGGAAAUCUUGAAAAGCAGAGGACAAGAUGAGGAUGAAGUUUGAAGAAUUCCGUAAAUAACGAAUGAUACAUUUGAGAGCACACUAGUGAAGAAGAGUGGGUUCUUGAUUUAAUUGAUUCAAUUUGUUGACAUUAAAAGCAUCUCAACUAAGUUGACAUCUACAUAGCGCCUUAAUCCUCUUCCUUUAGUUGGGGUAUUUUGUUGUAUGCCCCCUUGUAUUUGUUUAUUUUUUCUCAAUAAAAGUUGUCUAUAAAAAAAAAGUUAAGAUUCCACUUGAGACCAAUCAACAGGAGGGUAAGUUGAGUGAGUCCACCAAAAAAUUGUUGCUGCUUGACAAUGCCAGACUUAGCACAGGUGACCAUGGGAUGAGCAUUAAGGGGAGGGUGGAGGAAAGAAGGAUUGAAGGUGGAUGAGGAAAGGGACAAAGGUAACUUGGACAAUGGACAUGUAGAAUUAAAGGGGAAGUGUGCUAAUAUAUUGAUUGGGAGGUGAUGACAAGGUUAAUGUGGUGACAGAGGAGAGGUCGAGAUGAAUUUUAGUUGGGAAAGUGGGUGGUAGAGGAAGCCAAAGAUAGGAUAAUAUUAGUGGUGGUAGGUAAAGUAUUGGGGUCAUUGGAGAAUAAUUUUAAUGUAAGGAAACUCAUUGUCAUUGAAAUAACCAUGGCGAGAGGCAAAUUCUUCCAUUGGGGUAAGACAAUAAUAGCCCUUGUAGUGAUUAUUGUAGCCAAUGGACGCACAUCAUUGUAAUUGUAAGUAGACAAGAAUCGACCUUCUGAUGUUGAAAGGGCCUCAAACAAGGGUAGCAAUUAACAAGUUUGGCAAAGGUUUUGAGUUGGUGAAAAGUUUUGCAAGGACUUUGAUUGUGAAUCAUGGGUGAUGAUAAUGAUUGAUGAGAUAUGUGGUACCAUGAAAGGCAUCCCACUAAUAAUGCAAAGAUACGAGCUUGAGCUUAAAGAGCAAGACUAAUUCCAACCCUAGGAGUUUUUGUUCUUUUCUUUCAGAUUUUCUUGCUCUCUUUUCAAUAGAGAAGUGACGAAAGUGACUAUUUUUCUUUCUUUACUUGAGGGUUACCCUUUAUUUGUGGGAGAGAGGAUGGUUAGGAUUUGGAGCUCGAAUCUUUUGGAGGGAUUCUCGUGGAAGUUUUUUUUUUUCUUCUGCUCCUGUAGUUUGGUUGGUUCUUCUCCAUUAGGAGUGUUGGUCUUUUUGUUGCUAACACGACGAAAAAUGAGGUUCUCUACUUUAAAAGUUUUACACGCUCGUGCUAACGUGAUGAAUUAGCUUGUAAGGAAGAUGACACUGUUUGUUGGUCCUUUUUGUUGUAUUCUUUGUCAAAAGGUGGAGGAAGACCUGAACCAUAUUCUAUAAUAUUGAAAGCGAUAAACCAACGAAACACUGACUUGCGUGGAAACCUGAGUAUCAGGUGGAAAACCACAACAUUUUGUUACUUGUUAUUUUUUUGAAGAACACGAUAGGUACAAGAGAGGGGAAUAAAUAGAAUAAUACAAUGAGAUAAAAAAGAAAAGAUAUUUAUGACAUUUCACCCAUAAUCUCCAUAUGGGCCAAACCCACUAACUCCAACACUCUCGCUCAAUUUGGGAUGUAAAUAUCAAUGAUUCCCAACUUUCUAACUCAAAGGUCGAAGUUUGGUAUGAGAAGCCUCUUGGUGAGAACAUUAGCAAUCUGUUGGCUUGAAGGAAUGUACGAAAUGCAUAUGCUCCCACUGUCAAGUCUUUUUUUGAUGAAAUGCCGAUCAAUCUCAAUAUGUUUGGUUCUAUCAUGUUAAACUGAGUUGUUAGCGAUGCUAAUGGUAGCUUUAUUAUCAUAGAAUAGCUUCAUUGGUGUCUCACACUCCUAAUGAAAAUUAGACAGAACUUUUUGGAGCGAGAUUUCCUCACAUAUUUCCAAACUCAUAGUUCGGUGUCUGGCCUUAACAGUGCUCUGACCACAACACUUUGCUUCUUACUUCUCCAAGUUAAUAGAUUGCCCCGUACAAAAGUACAAUAAUUGGAGGUUGAUUUUCUGUCAACAACAGAUCUUGCUCAGUCUGAGUCAGUAUAGGCCUCAAUGGCCUUUUUGUUUGUUUUUCUGAACAUCAACUCUUUACUAGGUGUUGUUUUCAAGUAUCUUAGGAUUUUAUUGACAAGGAUUUUGUUGACAACUUCCAUGUGACAUAGGGAGCCUACAUAAACUGAUUGACAAAACUCACAACAAUGGAAAUAUUAGGACGAGUAUGAGAUAAGUAAAUCAAUUUACCCACAAAGCGUUGAUAUUGUUCUUUAUCAACUGGAACUUGAUCACUUGAGUUUUCUAGUUUACAGUUGAAUUCAAUAGGAGUGUCGGCAGAACGACAUCCCAACAUACUUGUCUCGGUCAUCUGUUCCAACAUUCUUCCAUUCAGGACACUCUAGAGUAGUGUGAAAUAUAAAGUCCAUUCAAGCAUUCUUCCAUUCAGGACACUAUGGUAUAAGAUAAAUUUGAGGUUUUUUUCUGUUUUCCAAAACUUCUAUCACACCAUUGAAACAAAUUCAAUACGAAAAUUGAAAUUCUUCGGAGUGAUAAUGGGCGAGAAUUUCAAAACCAUAAUCUUAGUGAGUUCCUAGCCUCCAAGGGGAUUGUUCACCAAAGUUCAUGCGCUUACACUCUUCAACAAAAUGGGAUGGCCAAGUGCAAUAACCGUCAUCUUCUGGAAGUAGCUCGGUCUCUAAUGCUAUCUACUUCCCUUCCUUGAUACCUGUGGGGAGAUGCCAUUCUUACAACAACUUAUUUAAUCAAUCGAAUGCCUUCUCAUGUCCUCCACCUUUAGACUCCCUUUGAUUGUCUUAAGGAGUCCUACCCUUCUACCUAUCUAAUUUCUGAGGUUCCGCUUCGUGUGUUUAUGUGUACCACAUAUGUCUAUAAUUUCGGCCCUAAUCAGACCUAAUUUACCCCUAAGGCUCAGGCAUCUGUGUUUGUUGGGUAUCCCCUUCAUCAACACGGUUAUAAAUGGUUUUCAUCUGCCUUCCAGAAAAUACUUUAUCACUAUAUUUGUUGCUUUCUGUGAAGACCAACUCUUCUUUCAUGUUAGCCAUAUUCCGGGGAAGAGUGUGAGUGAAGAGUUUAACUGUACCUUAGAGUUUAUUGAACCUACUCCUAGUAUUGUGUCUGAUUCCAAUCCUCAUUCCAUAGUCCUACUCACUGAAAAAACGUUCUACAGGAUGAAUGUCAUAAAGGAAAUUGAGUCUCCUAGUCAGCUGGCUCCAGUCCAAGACUCUAAACCUCCUCGAGAUCAAGGUAUGGAAAACCCUAUUGAACCUUGUGCUGAUAAUAAGAUGAGUGAGAAUGACUGGUGUGAUGUUGUUGUUCUUGAAUGUGGAAGAAAAGGACAAUGGUAAUAAGACAGAGGUCAGAGUAGAAAUCAGUAAUAGUGAAGUUGAAGAGGGUCAUACGGCGAAACUUGAUAAAUACAAUCCCUCUAUGGACAUUCCCAUUGCAUUGAGAAAAUGUACUAUGUCUUGUACAAAAUAUACCCAUUUGUAACUAUGUUUCCUAUGAUAAUCUCUCUCCUUAGUUUAUAACUUUUACAACAAGCCUUGAUACUACCAUAAUAUCGAAAAAUAUCCACAAUGUCCAGAAUGGAAGAAUGUUGGAAGGACUCUAAAUGCUCUAGAGUGUCUGAAGGACUUAAUCCCUAGAUUUACAGCACAAGGGUAUAAGAGAUAAAAAUGGCUUCAAAGAACUUGUCAAGCGAUCUGUAGUCCCCCGAAUCUAAAAUCUAGGGAUUCUUCUAUCUACACUAAUAAGGCCAAGGGACUGAGAUGUACCUGACUGAGCAAUGAUGCUCAGAGUAGGAGUGUUGGUCUGGCUUGCAGUAAGGCCAGUCGACUGAGAGGUGCUGGCAGUGGUAGUCUCACUAGUGGAGGCAUGCCCUGAGUUUUGUUUCUCGUCGAAGGAUCGUUUCUUACCUUCUGUGGGAUGACCGUGGAGUUUCCAACACUUAUCCUUGGUGUGCCACUAUUUCUUGUCGUGCUUACAUACAUGGAUUGGUUUUCUACUAUUCUUCUAAUUAUCAUGGGUCGAGGAUCAGGCACUAAAGGCAGCUGAGUCAGUGGCAGGGGUAGUUAGUAUACCCAUGGCAUUCAAACAGUCUUCUUCAAGACGGACUUCAAAACACACUUCCAUUAAGGAGGGAAGUGGUCUCUGUUUGAGUAUAUGACCACAAACAAUAUCAAACUUAGGAUUAAGUCCUGCAAGGAAAUCAUAAAUAUGGUAAGCUUCUUCAAGUUUAGCCAAUUGUAUACUGUCAUAUGGCAUGUCCCAAACUCUCCUUGCACAAAUUCAUCAGAAUGCCAGAGAAGGGAGAUCUUAUUGAAAUAGUAAGUCACAUUUUGGGGUCUCUUGUUUGCAAUCGUGGACCUGUUUUCUCGGUGUGUACAAUCGAGAGGCAUUCUGACGCUUCGAGUAAAGUGCCUAAGUUGUAUCCCACAAAUCUUUUGCAACAUCUGUGUCCAGUCAAGGCUUGCCGAUUUGUGGUUUCAUGCUAUUAAUCAGCAUAGAGCGAAUGAGUGAGUCCUCCCCUUUCCAGAGUCGUUCCAAGGCAUCACCCAAUGGAGACGGAUAGUCUCUCCUGUCAGAAACCCGAACUAGUGGUGAUCCUCGAGGAACAUCUUGUUCUAUUGGGACCAUGAACAAUAACUUUGGCCAUUUAGUUUCUCCCUGGAAAAUUCCUUGUAGAUGAUCCCAGAGAUCCAGUUAUAUAAUUUGAAGGCAGAUUAGGGAACAAAGUUACUGAGUUCUUUGAAUACAUUGGUAGAUUGGUCGAUUUGGACUAUGUUGAGGAUUCACCAACUUCAAAACCAGACUGAGUACACCCUCGAUCAUUCCUGAAACCAUGGAUAUGCUACUGUUGUAAGACAUGCAGACAUGAAAAGGCAGUGGCUAGAAGGGUUUGGCAGCUGGACUUGGGAUGAAGGAGGGAAGAAGAUCAGAUCGUUUCUAAAGGUAUCUGAUGGCAGUGUGUGGGCAAAGGCUUGUAGCGCGUGAGCUCCGUCGUUGUGCGGCUUACUCCGAGGGUGGCCCUAAACUGAUUGCCAACAUCCUCUGUAUCUGAUGGAAGAGAUUUUCCAUGGCGGCAAUGGCAACUUUUGUUUCUAUUUGGGCUUCUCGUAAACGAGUGUCUAGAGUUUUGUUGUUACCUUGCUCUGGUACCAUAUUGUGAGCUAUAAACCAACAAAACACUGACUUACGUGGAAACCUGAGUACCGACAGAAAAACCACAAUAUUUUGUUCUCAUUAUUCUCUAAUGAAUACAGUAGGUACAAGAGGAGGGGGGAAUAAAUAGACUAAUACAAAAGAGAUAAAAAAGGAAAGAUAUUUAGGGCAAAUCUCCCGUAAUCUUCCUAUGGGCCAAGUCCACUAACUCUACCAAAUAACAUUGUGAGUUUGUGUUUGGGAUUCUUUCUACCCAACGUUUGGUAUCAUGUAUGCUCGUCAUGGUGACACUAGUGUUAUGAUCAAAGAGUUCCUUCUUAAUAUGCCUAAUGGGGACAAUGGUUGAACGAAAGUCUUAUGAGAUUUGCCACAGUUGGCUCUCAAAAAUAAGUCUUUUAUUACUCUUAACAGAAGCAUUACAUAUUUUCAAGAUUUGACUUAAGAUUCUAGGGUAUGGAUGACCAAGUCUUUGUACAAGAGAAAUACAUAGCCAAUUUUAGUUGUCAAAUUUGCAAAAGGAUUGAAACUGAACCAGGGGUCUUCAAGUCAGUAGUUUAUCCGAAGUCCUAAGUAGAUAACUUGAGCAACUUCUUCAUUAACCAAGAGACUGGAUGAGACUUUUGAUGAGGUUUCUUCCAAAAUGUUAGUUCAUGAUCAAGCAUGCCUACUGGCCAUACCUUCUUGGAUUUCCUUGUCCCUUAACAAGGCUGAACAAAUAUGAAAUUCAACAAUCACAUCAUUAUCUUGAGUCAAUUUAGAAACAAUAAUCAGAUUCUUUUUCAUGAGGGGACAUAAAGAAUGUCUUUCAGUAUCACAAGUAUCCCUUUACUUCGCAAAUAAGUGGUACCCAAGCCAACAAUUGGUAAUUUUGUUCCAUCUCCAGCCACAAUAGUUUUUUCCCCUGAAUUUUUGCCCUCUAGGGUUAGUUUUUGAAGUUUAAAGGCAACAUGAUUACUUGCACCUUUGUCUAAAUACCAAGAAGAGCCUUGGAGUUUUUGAGAAUAUGUUGUAAAUGCAGUGGGGCUUGAAGCAUUUUGAUUUCUUGAGGAAGCAUAGUAAUAGGCUUGAAGCAUUUGACCAUUACUAUGCUUUAUACAAUUUUGUUCCAAGCUUGUACUUUGUUUGCUUAGGUUCUGUAACGCCUCCUAUUAUUCAUAUUUACAAAAGGAGGGGUAAGAAGGUAAAUGAACAAACAUUUAAUGAUGAAGGAAUAAUUUGAAAAAGAAUGUGCAGGUGGGGCCUACGGGGAGGAAAGAUAGGAGAGGUAUAUAUAGACCUUUAUAGGGAUUGGGUAGCUAGGUUAUUUUAUUUCCAUCUUUGGAGUGUAAAGGCUGCUGUGGCCUGAGGGAUUUCCCAGUUCACCGUGACAGAGCUGGUAUGUUUUUCUUGUUGUUGGUUUACUUUAUUAUCAUCAUACUGUGACUUGUUAUCAUCUUUGGCUUAUAUAUACAUCAGCAGAGUGCCGCCUCUAUUUUAAGCCUUUCGGUUGGGAUAUUUUUUUUAUUCUUGUUAAUAUCCUAACAACUGGUAUCAAAGCCUUGAAACUGGGGUUAUUACGCGUUCAAUGACUCAACGAUAGAUGGAAGAAAUAGUUGAGGGUACGAAAAAGGAAAUCAUGGGACUGAAGGAAGUGAUGUUGGAAAUGAAAAAAUCCAUGGAUAGAAUGGCGGAUGAGAUGAGAGAGAGCCAUAGUUAUAAUAAAAGAGAAGAACCUGGUAUAUCUGAUGGGUCUAUUAUGAAACUCAAGGGAAAAAUAAAAGAAAUGGAUGUCACGACCGAGGGAAACAAUGCAACAGUAGAUCAGAGUAAGUAUAAGAAGUUGGAAAUGCCAAUGUUCUUAGGAGAAAAUUCUGAAUCCUGAGCAUAUAGAGCAGAGCACUUCUUUGAAAUUAAUAAUAGUGAGACUCGUAUCAUUUUUUAAAAAAAUCUAAUGUUCCACUAUCAAUGAAAUCUGUGAAUGAUGAUGUCUUACACAUGUUGGUUUCCCAUGAUUGGUAUGUAAUAUGAUGUACUGUUGUCAUUCCUGAGUCUGUUUAUGUUUAGAUUUGGAGAUCACGAUAAAGCUCUUUCAUAGUAAUGAUUUUAGAAGCAAAGGGGGAUAUGAUGUUUUGGUGCUAAGGGGGUGUCAACCUAGUUGAGAUGUCUGGGUGCACCUUCUGAUCCCUAUUAUUCUUCUUUUUUUCGCUUGUUUGGACUUCUUUAUUUAGCUCAUUGUAUAAUUCUCUUGUCCAUUGAGCUCUUAUUAUUAUUAAUAAAGAAGUUUGUCUCCGUUUCAAAAAAAAAAGCAAAGCCAUCCGACACAAGUUGUCUUAUAUUAAGGUUUCAUUUGUAUUUCACUGCUAAUUUACCAUUCUGGUUAUGUAUGGUGAUUCUGAAAAUGUUCGUUGUUAUUACAGAUGUGGUUCGAUCAACGCUUCCUACCUGCAUACCACCAUCUUACAAGGGUGCCACUAUUCGUUAUAUGUAUUAUGUUAAAAGCACGUUACUAGGACGAUGGCUAUCACAGGAAAAUGGUCGGUCUCAUAAAGAGUCGCCGAAGGAUCAAAUAGAAAUGGUUUGUGUACUUGUUUCAAAGAUGAGCGCAUUCAUUGUUUGAUUUGAAUUGAAUAAACAUUAGGUGAACUGCAUUAGGGAAAAAAAACAUUAGGUGAACUGCAGCUGGAAUUUGUUUCUGACUUCAAUUUUUCUUUUAGAAGAACAAUUCUUUUUCAGUCCUACUUACUAUUACUACAUUUACUAAUCUUCUCACAUACCUUUCAUGCUUGAAUCCCUGUAACCAACUAAGUGUUUCAUCCAAGUAUGUGCUCAUUGAAUGGGUACUUCUUAUCAAUAACAAUAAACAUAGGUUCUUAAAUUUUAUUUUUUACACUGCAUUGCUUUACACUGAUAAUGGAUGUUUUUUCUGUUUCUUCACCAUAAGAUUAUUUAUAUUCUUUUCUUUUUGUGGAUUGUAUUUUCAAAUCUUAUGUGUAUAAAUAUAGUUUUUUUCUUUUGAUAUCCGUGAGUGUCUGGGCCAGCUUACGCGCACCUUGACUAAUCUCACGGGACAACCCAUCUGACCCUACAACUUUUGGGUGUCAAGGAAACUCAUAGGAAAUUAAUUCCUAGCUAGGUGACCACCAUGGAUUGAACCAAUGACUUCUUAGUUAGUUAUUGAGACUAUCUCCCUUUUUACCACUAGGCGAACCCAUGAUGAUUUUCAUAAACAUAGUUGUUAAAAUUAACUUUUCAAUUACAGACAAGAAAUCAUUGAAUGGAUUUAUGAUUGGACUAGAGAAUUGGAGGAUAGUACCUGACCUUUUCCUCCCUAUGCAUGUUUUCUGUAUUUCUGGUUAAGAUAUUAUCUAACUUCAUUUAUUAUUUAUUUAGGAAGCUCGGCUUCCAUUACAAGUGUGGGUCACUCAGAAAACUAAUGGCAUGCUAAUGGAAGAAGGUCAAAAUGAUGGUGAUCUUUCCUCUCUCUGUUUGUUAUAGUUGUGCAAGUUGCAUAUUUAUUUGCAUCUGAAAUUCAUUUGUGGUUUGUGGAAUUACACACACACCUAUGCACACAUUAGCAGCUAUGCAUUUUGCUUACAUCUACAUGGUUACUAUUCCAUAUUUGUUUAUAUCAAUUGGAGUUUUUUCUUAAAUCUCCUUCAGUGUAGGCCAUCUUUUCUUCACUCUCAUUGUGAAUUUGCUCUUCAUUGAAGCUUCACAUCCAAAAUAAAAGAAAGUAUCAAUUUACUCUUCUUUUAGAUCUAUAAUUCAAUAUGGCUAACUGAACUUUCUUUUGAAGAUCAUUGCUUGGUAUUUGGUAUUUGGUAUUUGGUAUUUGGUAUUUUAUGACUAAAGAGGGGUGACCUUUUAGUGGUAAGAAAUUGGGAUGGCUGGAGAUAGGGCUUGUGGUCUCCUGGAGUUGGCCUUGGUUGGGCAAGACCUCCCCAAGAAUUAGAGUGAUGAGUCAUGACUAUGUAUAGUUGGUUUUCUAUAGGAAAAAAAGUCACGACUAUGAGCAUAAGGUACGGAGUGGAGCCCUCUUAUACUUUUAACUUUAAAUAACUCAAGUUUUACAUUUCCUUGUACAUGCCUUUCUGUUUACACGUGCCUAUAUCAUCAUAAAUGAGGGAGUUUCAUUAAUCGCUUGUUAAGAUUUCUAUCCUGAAAAUCAGUAAAAUCCCAACAAGGGUAAAUAGAGACAGUACUCUGUUACAAUAUAUUGAUAAUAAUAGCCAAAAUGUAUCACAAUAUGUCAAGCACAGAUAAAAGUAAGGAAAUACAAGAAGACAAUAAACCAGCUCCUUCGAGAAGGAUGGAAGCCUCUCCUAAUGAAGCCUACAAUAGCCUUCACGAAAAACAAAACCUAAAACAUUAAUCCAUAACAUUCCAUAUAAAUACCCAUCAUUUAGUGGGCCCUCAGAUAGUGUUUCUUCUCUCUUCAGCUCCUGAAAUUGCCAUAUUCCAUGUCAACUCCCUUUUUUGCCCCAUCUCUUGUAUGUGUGUAAUAUCGGGGGUCUAACAUUACUGGUUGGCUCGAAACCUUGUCCUCAAGGUGGAGUGCGGGGAAUUGAUGAUUCAUUAAGUGCACCGUUUCCAACGUAGCUUCACUGUCUGCAGCCCCUUCCUCUUGACCAGCCAAUCAUCUGCUGCCAUUUCUCUAUUCCAUCUGAUUCCCUAAACGGCCUCCGACCUCAGUUGCAAUACAAACUCUUCGGUUAGCAUGGAGGGAAGUUUUAGGACCCUUUGGGUUUGACCCAACUUUCUUUAGCUGGGAUACAUGAAAGACAUCAUGGAUACAUGUUCUUGAAGGUAAUUCUAAGCGAUAUGCCACUUUUCCAAUUCUUUCCAUGACUCGAUAGGGUCCAUAGAGUUUAGGUGAAAGUUUCUCACUUCUUUUUUUUGCUCGAGACAUCUGUCGAUACAACCAUAAUUUCAAGUAUACCUCAUCACCUACUUGGAAUCUCAGUUCCCUCCAAUGUAAGUUCGCUUGCUUUUUCAUCCUAUUAUGGGCUACUACCAAGUUUUCUUUCAAUGAAUUGAUUAUUAAGUCUCUCUCCAUAAAAUACUACCCAUUCUCUUUCAUCAGCUUUUUCUAGCAGCUCCAAGCUGUUUGUAAAGGCUAAUUCUGAU
rnacentral:lncRNA from 1 species